AGGCAUGCCUUGGAGCAGUUGGAUGGUUCAGAUUUUCCUGAGUUCAAAUUGCGUGAUGCAUCAGGUGCUGCUAAGCAUGCGCUAAACAUGGCUAAACUGAAAAGGCAAAGGGCUCAAAGACUGCUCUACAGAGCAGAUUUAGCAAUUCACAAAGCUGUGGUGGCUCUCAUGACAGCUGAGGCAAAAAAAACUGCUUUCGACAGCUCUAAGGUGGUGAUUAGGAUGACCUUCUGGUUGCGACAAGUAAUGAAAUUGCACAGUGCUUUCAGCUUAUAGGCAGAUGUGGAGUUCAUAUUGCUGAAGUUAUUAUGCCAGAAUGGCGCUGAUAUGACUUUUCUCAAUGAUACUCUUGACUUCCUUUAGAAUUGUUUGAGGUAAAUUUGACCCCGUGCAAAGACCAUUUAUGCACACUGAUGGACAAUAUAUCAGCUGGCUUGCCAUCAGCAGAGAACAGCAGCUCUUCGCUUCUGCCUCAAUCGUCAUGCUGCAUUCCCCAACAUACCAGCUUGUUUUAUAAAAUGUAGUCUCGUACAUAACUCGCUAGUCUUUUCACUGAUUAGUUUUCUGAAGAGGGAGAAUUUUCUCAGUUCAGUGGGACAGGUUGGUGUCCGUUCUGCCAUGGGGUUUGUGAAAUUUUGGUGUUGAUCAUUGUACAGAAUUUUUUGCCUUAUAUUUUUUUCUACCUUUGAGCCUGUUGGCCCUUUAACCUUAGUUUUAGUGAUCUUCUUUAGAGGAGCAUUAGACCGACGUAGUAUGAUAUAGCUUUGUACUAACCUGCGAUUGCUGGAUACUGUAAGCAGAGAUCUCUAUCCAUAGGUAAACGGAUGAGGAUAUGCUGUAACUACCAGUGAAUUCUCUUAACAUCAAUGGAGCCUGAAAGAUGUAGAUUCUUGAGAUUCAGGAUGAAGUGUUUGGUUCCAAUGAUCUAUGCUGCUAUUGUGCAUAUUGUAUAUAUUAGUUCUUUGCUUCUCGUCCAUCUUCUUCCUUCAGGGUAUUCUCUUUGAUCCAAGUUUCUUGGUGCUGUUAAUGCAGACAACUAUUGUCUAUUUUUGCUUUUUGUACGGAAGUUGAAUAGCUUUCGUGGCUGUAUCAUCUAGGGCACCUAAUAAUCUCUUUAUUGUUGUGCUGUGAGGUGGUCAACAUUCUUUUGUUCAGUUAGUUUUGAUAGGAAAACUUGGAGAAGCCUAAAGUCUGAUCUUGAUUAGGGUUGGGAAAUGAUCUCACACGUAUUAAUUAGCUGUACAUUAAUAACUCCUCCUAUGUUUUUGUAACGAUCAAUCCCUGUCUUAGCAAGUUAUAUUUCCCUGAUUCCAUUUGGAUGGAGCCCUUUUCUGAAGCUGCAUGUGCUUAAUAAACGUUGUCCAACAUGUGUCUCAUCUCACCUACACAUUUAUCCAAAAAUUAAAGUGUGUAGUCCCAAAUCAAAAUCAAGAUGUGUAAGGUACAGCUGCGCUGCUUCGAAAUGCAAAUCAUGAUACAAAACAUCUUAUCAAGUUUUGGUCGGUAUUUCUAUUUAGACAAGAUUUGACCUACAUUAAACGAUUAAGAAAGCACUCCGGACUCAUGUUUUUUAGUUUGUGUCUAUUAUAUUAGUCGACAUUCUUUUAGUUUGUAUCUAUCGUAUUAGUCAUAUGUCACUUAGAGUAAGAUUUUCUUUUAGAAAAUUUGAUUAACGUAUGAUAAGGGGGAAAAUUUUGAAAUUUUGAGUGCGUUUGGACAGGAGAUUAUUUGGGAUAUAUUUUUUUUUAAAAAAUACUAUAAUACUUUUUUAUGUAAUGUAUGUGAGAUAAAAAGGUGGUUAGAAAAUGUAUUGGGAGAACUGUACAAAUAGUUUUUCACAUAUUGUAAAUGUGAAAAUUUAGUCCCUCAAAUCGAAAAUGAUCACUUUUAGUCCUUAGAAAAUAAAAAAGAAUCAAUUUAAAUCCCUUUUCACUUUUCCGAACGAUUUUUGCUCGGAAUAUCUCAAGCGCACAUCAUUUGCCCAACUUUUAAAGGGUAAAAAGGCCAAACCACUUAUCUGUUGACCAAAAUAUAAAGGACGAAUGGUGGAAUGUUAAGUGAAAACCUCAAUUUUGGUACGAAUUCACCAUUCCAUCUCCAAUUCCUCUCAACCCAAAAGAAACUUACUUAUCACUACCCAACAGUGGACUGAUCUUGAUGAAAAGGAAUGUUAGUGAUUGAAGCGAAGAAGAAAUAGGUUUACCGGAGUGAUGGACGAAGAAGACAUUCAACAGAUCCCAAAUUACAGUAUGUAUUUCUAAACCCUAAACUAUAGAAUUUCUAGAAUGAUGUCAGAUACUAUGUGAAUAGUUUAAAUACAGUUGCAAUAAGCAUGAUUUGUGCAGUUAAGAAGUAUUAUUAUAUUAAUUAGAGUUGCUAGUGGUCAAUUUUAUGCCUUAUAUUGUUGUAAUUACAUGUGGUCCCUUGUAUUGUAUUGUGUUGUCUCUUUACAAAGAUGGGCAGUCGGACCCAAAACAAUAUUUUUUUGUUGUUAACUAUCUCUUAAAUGGUUGGCAGAUGGUAUGAAUCGAUUUUCCAUUAGGGUUCACUAUGGAGGUGAACUCACUGAAUUGCUGAACAAAGAAUACCAUGGGGGUGGUGUAAAAAUUAUUGACUAUUAUAAUUCUGAUAGAUGGUCUAUAGAUACACUUGAUAGAGUUGCAAAAAAAACUAGGGUAUCCUGAGUUUAGUGUAACACACUAUUACUUAAUACCCGAGAAGAACAUGGAGGAUGUGUUAGUAUAUGUGUUAUGUGAAGAUGUUGCUCAGGAUUUGGCUCGAUACGGAGUGAAAUAUGGUGUGGUUGAUGUAUACUUUGUGCACUUAAAAACCUACUUCAUAAGUGAAUGUGAAACUGGACCAUAUAAACCAAAAGAGAGCACUGAUCCUAAUGAAAAUCAAUAGCGAGGUAAGGUUCAUGAAGAAUUUUCUGAUGUAGAAGAAAUAGUGAUGAACAAUACUCUUGUAACUUAAUCCGAAAAUGAGAGUGAAAAGGAUAGUAUGGGUAAAGGCGAGUCAGAAACUAAUAAGCACAUAGAGGAAGCAGUUAUAGGAGAUGAGAACUUGAAAUUUACUGAAAAACUAGGUGAAAUGUUUUCAGAAGUUGAGAGUAGAGUUGCUGAUAAAGGGGAUAAUGGGGCAGAUAUAGGAGGGCGAAAUCAGAAUUUUAGAAAAAAACAAAAUGAGACAAACUCAGAAGUACAGAAUGUAGAAAAAAAUGCACCUGAUAACAGAGCAAAUAUAGGAGGGCAAGAUCAAAAUUUUAGAGAAGAACAAGAUGGGACAAAUUCAGAAGCGCAGAAUGCACGAAAGAAUGCACCUGAUAACAGAGCAGAUGUAGAAGUCUAAUAUGUAAGAAAAAAUGUACCCUCUACUAGCAAAUUACCAAAAGAGAAAUCAUUAAAGAAAAAUUCUCAACAAAUAAAGAGUAGGCUAAAAAAGUUGAGAGAACAAAAAGGAGGCACCUGUUGAGGAAGAUGAGGAAUCUGGUGAUGGUGACAAGUUCAUUGAUAGUGAUUAUGAGUUUAGUGAUGAAGAGAACAUAGUAAAAUCUGUUAAAUAAAGAAAAGGUGAAUGGGAGAAAAUUGUCAAAAAUUGCAAAUCAAGUAAGACUACAAAUGCAACUACAUCUCAAAUGGAGGGUGUUGAGAUAGAAGAAGAUGCCACUGAUUCAGAUGAAUUUGAUAGUUGCUGUGACUCAGAAGAAGAAGAUCAGCUAAGAAAAAGGGCUAAGUUUUCAAAUUUUAACCCUGAAACUGAUAUGGCCGAUUCCAAAUUUCUGGUUGGACAGACUUUUACUUGUAAGCAGUUGUUCAUAAAGGCAUGCAAGAGCCAUGGAGUAGUUCACAGAAAGAAGAUAAAGUUCAGUAAAAAUGAUGGCAGAAGAGUUACGGCUUAUUGCAAGGACUGUAGCUGGAAAGUUUCUACAGCCAUUAUGCCAGACAAGAAGACUUUUCAAGUCAAGAGCAUGCAAGGUGAACACAGUUAUAGGAGGACAUUUGACCACGAACUGGCAAACUCAACCUUUUUGGUUGACAGAUACAAAAAAGAGCUGGCUGCUAUGGCUGACAUGAAGGUGAGUACACACACAAAUAAAGUGAAGACUGACGUUAAUGUCAACAUUUUUAGGUGGUAAGCUUAUAGAACCAAGAAAAAGACAGAGAUUUUAGUUAAUGGUGAACAUAAAACCCAAUACAACAAACUAAGGAACUAUUAUAGGGAAGUAACGAGGGCCAAUCCUGGUUCAAAUGUUUUCAUGACCACUGUUGAAGAUGAUGAAGCGGAAGAAAGGUUUGAGAGGUUGUAUAUUUGUCUUAAUGCAUGCAAGACAGGCUUCUUAAGUAAUUGUAGGCCUGUUGUCGGGUUAGAUGGCUGCCAUCUUAAAAGGCCCCAUAAGAGUGUAUUACUUACAACAGUAGGGAUUGACCCCAAUGAUCAGUUGUACUCUAUUAAGUAUGCUGUGGUGGAAAUAGAAAACAAGCUGACUUGAAAAUGGUUCGUAGGUGACUGAUUCAAGCUAUUGAAGAGUCGCUUCCUGAUAUGGAGCAUAGGAUGUGUGUGAGACACAUGUACAGUAACUUUAAAAAGUUGCAUGGUGGUUUGGCAUUAAAGGAGAGAAUUUGGGCACUUGCAAAAGCUCAUUAUAAAAAUCUGUUCAAAGUUUUGAAGGAAGCUUUGAAAGCAGUUGAUGAGGGUGCAUUUCAGUGGUUGCUUGACAACAUAACACCACAGCAAUGGUCCAGAACUUAUUUUAGAACCUCCCCUAAAUAUGACAUUUUAUUUAACAAUCUAUGUGUGAGUUUCAACUCCAACAUUUUAGAAGCAAGAGAGAGGCCUAACUAGAUAUGUUGGAAACAACACGAUUUUAUUUAAUGGUUAGAAUGGAGAAUAAGAGGGAGUGGAUGAAGAAAUAUACAGGAAAGAUAUGUCCAAAAAUUUUUAAAAAGUUGAAAAAAGUAAAAAGUGCUUCUAGUGCUUGUAUAGCUACACCUUCAGGGGACUAGAAUUAUGAGAUGAGAUGUAUGUAUGGGGAUAUGUACACUAUGAAUUUGAUUAGCAGAACUUGUAGUUGUAGAAGGUGGGAAAUAAAUGGCAUUCCUUGUACUCGUGUAAUGAGUGCUAUUGCUUUGACAAAAGAGCCUUUGGAGAACUUUGUUAAUGAAUGCUACUUAAAAGAGGCUUCUAUGAGAGCAUAUGGGGCCUAUAAUAUAUCCUCUCAAUGGUGAGCAUUUGUGAAAAGAUUUGAAAUAGGGGCUGUCCUACCACCUGAAACUAUCAAGCUUUCUAGCCGGCCUAAGAAGGUAAGAAGAAGAGAACCAGAUAAGCCACCGGCUGCAACAACUUCUCGAGGACAAACAAAGAGACUGUCUAGAGUGGGUCUAACGGAUUAUAAGUGCAAAAAGUGUAAACAAAAGGGCCAUAAUAGUAGGAGUGUCCAAGCAGUUAUGAUCAAGGGAAUGUCCAGCAACAAGCUACUGCGGUUACAAGUAGCUCUUAGCCACAGCAGCAGACUCCUAACACUAUGACUGGUGCAAACAAAUAGUCCCAACCUCAGCAGUCCCAAACUCAGCAGUCCCAACCUCAGUAGUCCCAAACUGAUUACCAGUCUAAAAAUGCUACUCCUAUUGCAAACAAAUAGUCCAAUUUCACACUUGAAGCAGUUUUUGAUGCAAGUGGCUUGGAGACUGAUACAAGUGACCAAAUCUUGUUUGAUCUCAUUAGUCAAAUCCCAUGUUAACCUACAACCAGCAAACCACUACUCUAACAUCAAUAACAAAGAAUGCAACAUCUCCAAUUCAUACUUCUCUAUUUGUUCAUUCUAAUUUUGUUCUAUAGCACGUUGACUUCUUUCUAUACUAUUAUUUACUUGAAUUUCUAGUUACCAAUUGUCAGGGUAAGAAAGUCAAGUACAGAUGUAGUGUAUGUUGGAGAUUUAGACACACUCGAAAUAGUUGUGAUUCAACAUUGGUCUCUCUCUAUAAGAAAUACCCAUGGAAAUCAUCUGGAUUAGCUGUAAGUAAAUUGCUAUUGUCUACUACAUGCAUCAUCUAAAGAAGACUGCAAAGAUAUCUACUUCUAAGAUUGCAAAAAUUGCUAUUGAUUGUAAGUAAUGAGCUCCUCAUUGUUUUAUUUGUAUCAGAGGCCUAAGAAGACUGCAAUGAUAUCUACUUCUAAAAGUGCUGCAAAGAGGGAUGACAAGCUGACCUAGAUGACUAGGGCAUGUUGUUGCAAAAAGGAAUGACUACAAAGAUAACUACUUCUAAAAGUGCUGCAAAUGGUUGCAUUUCACCUUUUUAUCGUAUAUUUGAUUUCAGCAACCUUUUUUUUGGAGCACUGGAAUUGACUUCUUAGUUCAUUGCAUUUUUUUGACAAAAAAACGUAUGGUAAUGAAUUACGUGACUCGGUUAUAUACUAUUUUUUCAUUGCAAUGGAAUGCAUGCCCUUCUUAUUUUUGGAGUUUCAUAAUUGGUUCACUUUCUACUCUUUCUUCACUUAUAAUAUUGUUAUUAUCACCUUCAUUAUCUUUCAAUACAGAACCGUUCUUGGUCAGUUUUUUACAACAUAUUCAAGUUAGACUUUAUUCCAUAUUUGCUGUAAGCUCAUAUUCAAGAAAAAAUCACAAUAUAGCAGAGAGGACUUAAGUUUCAUAAUUGCAUUCCAACUCCCAUUUGUACAAUCAACAGGGCCACUAAACGUAACCCAACCUAAAUACAAGAAAUAAAAGCCACCCAAUUCCCAUUUCACCACUUGCACCAACAAAUGCCAGUUACAAUUCAAUCUUUGCACAACAAUUUUUGCAUUGCGAAUACAAAGGCCACAAACAGCAACAAUUUCAUCAUUUUCUCUUUGCGUUUGUUUCUUCCACCUUUGCCUCCAAUUCUCUUAAUCUCUUCGUCAAUCUUCUUGUGUCUCAUUAAUUUAUCGCACCUCUCGCAACUGUUUGUAUCAUGCUACUUGAAAUAGCCACAGCCGCCACCACUAAUAUGCUGUUCAAAAUUACCUCUUCAAAUUCACAUUUUUGAAAUAAAAAAGCAAUAGAAAUCAGGCACACUUAUUUCGUAGUAAGUGCAACCAUAGAAUCUUUCCUGGAUUUUCAGUUGUCCACGACGUUUUCACCUCGUGGUAUACCGCAUUUACAAGUUGGUGGUUCUGCCAUGGAGAUGAAGCUUAGAUUUUGGGUUUGGUUGAAAUGAAGGAAAAGAAUUUUGGAAACCAUUCGUCCUUACAUUUUGGUCAACAGACAAAUGGUUUGGCCUUUUUACCCUUUAAAAGUUGGGCACGUGAUGUGCACGUGAGAUAUUCCGGGCAAAAUCGUUCGAAAAAGUGAAACGGAUUUAAAUUGAUCAUUUUUUAUUUUCUAAGGACUAAAAGUGAUCAUUUUGAUCUGAGGGACUAAAUUUUUACAUUUGCAAUAUGUGAGACUAUUUGUGCAGUUCUCUCAAAUGUAUUUAUGAUGCAAACAAAUAAAUUUGUACAAAUGGUACACUCCUUCCAUAUGCAAUUCAUGAAACAAAAAAGCUCGCAUAAGUUUUGUUCCUUACAUUUGAGCAAGAGUUUGAUUAUUGUUAUCUCAUUGUCCUUUCCAUAAUCCUUUAUUUUCUUUUUCUUUUGAAAAAGAAGAUAAGUUAUAUUUAUUCCUAUAUUGAACAUUUACCUCAUCUUGAUUAUAGAUGUUGAUUCUUCAUUAAAAAAAAAACUGUAUAUUGCUUAUCUUCAAAAUAUAAAUCAAUAAAUAAAAUCUGUCUAUUGUUGUGUUUACGUAAGAAAUACAGAAAAACAAGAAAAAGCAACGGUCACUAAACCGUCUAAACCGCCAAAAUUCCCUCCUCACCUCUCCUGACUCCCGCUUCUCCUCUCCCUCUUUCAGAGGCACACACCAGCUGAGCAAAGUCCCACAACCAGGGGGGAAAUGCCAUUCGUUAUUUGCCCAAAUUCUUGAAGAAAAUAACCUUCCAUUGUAGAUUCAUCCCAUCAAGAAAGGGUGUCGGUUAAUCUCAGAACACCACAAACACAAGAAGCUCAAAAUGGUAUGCGAAAAGACUUAGCAAAAGAGAAAAAAAAAAAAAGGUAAUUAUGUUUGACUAGGGAUUUGAUAAUUAGAGUCACGGAUCAACGGACAAGAAUCUCAUUAAUUUUCCGCUUGUCAGGUUUUUCCUAUUAUUGCAAGACAUGGGAUAUGCUCAUAGAUGUUGCUGAACACUUCUCUUAGCUGUAGAUUUCGAGAUUGAGAUAUAGAGUUCAAGAAUGUUAAAAGAUUUGUUUUUUUUGUCAUGAUUUUUGUAGAGAAAAAAGAGGAACAGAAGUGGUAAAAGAUGCCAAAGGAAAAGUAAAGGAAGAAGAGAGAAUUGAGAAGAUCAUUCGUGGUCUUCUUAAGCUUCCAGAAAAUAAGAGAUGUAUCAACUGCAACAGUUUGGUAAGCAGUUUUUUUUACCUUGUUGUAUCAUUGUCAUCUUUACCUAUGAUAUGAAGAUCUGAAAAACUGCUAACGGUUUAAGCUUUAUAAGUUAAUAGGGAAUAUUACCUUGCAAAGAAGGUAUAUUAUGAAAGUGACGGUGUCAAAUUGUUGAAUAUGAUUGCAAUGGUUUUACUGGGGAAAAAAAUUUUAAACAGCCCUUCAAGUAUUAAAUCUUUUUGCAAUCUCUCACCUGGCUUCAUCCAUUGUUUUCUGAUGAUGAACUGAUGAUACUAGGAUUUUAGUAAACGUAAACUGUAAAGCCUUCGAUUCUCUCCCCUAAUAAGCUUGUCUAUUCAGGGUCUUUGUACUUAUUGAUUUAGUAGUGAAGAUUCUAAGAUGUUUGCCAAAAGAUAUGUUAAUUCCCUAGGCUGUUACAAGUUUUAAAUAUUUACAAAAUAUGUCCGCUAUGAAGAUUGAAUUUUUAAACCAUCUUUGACUGCUACCUUAUUUUGUGGUCAAAUAAUCAAAGGCAAAGCAGAGAAACUCAAAUAACUCUUCAAGAUCCUAAUGGAUUUUAGGAAAUAAUGCCGGGAUUGUUCUUUUUCCCGAAAAGUAAUGACCGGAUAAGAAGAAAACCACUAUCUUUUAUGAUGUUGUGUGCAUCUAGUUCUAGACUUUCAGUCUGCAUCCUUUCUUUUUUAAUAGAAUCUAAGAGAGUCGAUUGCAGAAGUCUAUAUCUGCACUUCUGUUUCUUUUCUUCGUGGUAGAGGGGCUUUCGAGCUCCUUCAUAGCAGCAGUUUGAUCAUAACUUGGUAAUGAUACAAAUUUCUAUCAAGCAGGGGCCUCAAUAUGUAUGCACAACCUUCUUGACAUUCAUUUGCACAAACUGCAGUGGUGUACAGUAAGUGAAAAUUAUGCCUUUUGCAGUUCUAUUCUGAUAUUUGUUGAAUUUGUGACAUUAGGUGAACUUUCAGAGAUUCAGCAUAAAGUUAAUAAUGUUGUAAACAACAAAAAAGAAAAGGCUAAUUUAAUGAUAUUAUUGAAAUUCAGUCAUAUGAAAAGCGCAGGCUGACUGAUUUUUCUUCAAAACUUUCAGUCGAGAAUUCACACAUCGAGUAAAAUCUGUGUCAAUGGCUAAAUUUUCUGCAGAAGAAGUAGAUGCUCUUCAGGCAGGGGGUAAUGAGGUCUGCUCGCAUAUCAGUUUAAACCUACUUUUGUUUCUUCAGUCGAAAUUAACUGAACUUUAUAUAAUGACUAACCUAAUGGACAAUGUCACAGCGAGCAAGGCAGAUUUAUCUUAAAGAAUGGGAUCCGCAUAGAAAUUAUUUUCCUGACGGGAGGUAAAUCUAUUUGCUUCCACACUAGGAUAGAGGCAUCAUAGGGACUCUUUCUGUCUGAUGAGAUAUUCUUUUUGUUUCCAGUAAUCUUCAUAGACUUCGUGAUUUCAUCAAGCACGUCUACAUAGACAGAAAAUAUGCUGGUGUUAGGCGUAAUGACAAGCUUUCAAUGGUUAAAGCGGUAAGUCUCUCUGAAUGUAUAAUCAUACGGCCAUUAAAUCAUCUUUUAUUAUCUUCAGCAGUUUUAAUAAUCUCACUGUUUAAAAUAUAACUGAUCUGAAUAUGUACUUUGUAGUAGUUAUUUGCUCCUAUUUGUCUUAUCGGCAACCAAAUGCAUUGAGUUUCUGUCAAAAUGAACCUAGGCCAGGUAGAUCUCAACUGACAUGCUUCUGUAUAUGCUAAAGAGUGCAAAGGAGGACCUCCAAGAGCGGCAUUCUUUUGAAACAUCCCGUCGUGGUGCUAGAGAAGAAUUUUUUCAUACGGAUGAUGCUCGGAGAGAUGAUUUCUUUGAGCGGCACUCAUUUGAACAUUCUUUUCUAAGUAGAAACGAUGGCAGAAAUUUGAAAAAUCACAUUGAUCAAGAAAUAGCCCUCGAUACAAACAAGAAAUGCUGAAGUCUGGAAGUCAGAAUAGCCGGGCACCUCGAUUUGAAAUAGUUGAUGAUAGGUUCCGGGAAAAUGGAUAUGGAUCUGUAAGGAAAGUUUUGACUCACAGAUACUCAGAUACAGAGUCCAGGGCUAGAAGCAGCUCACCAAUUUCACAAAAGAGCAGAGAUAUUUCAAAAGAGCCCGCAAAUACGUCCACUAAAUGACAUUUUAGAUUUGACAAAUCUCUCCUCUAAAAUGCUAAAAGUGGAGAAUCUCCUAAAGCAAAUGCUGUUGAUGGCUCUGGCUGUUCAGGUUAGUUAAAUUCCUGAUUCUGGUCAUGCAACAAAUAUUAAAUUCCUUUCACAUUUUAACACGUAUUACUUGCUCCUUGAUGUCAGUGUGGUUGUUGACUAAGCUAUACUUCAUCUGAUGCUUCUUCAGCUGAGAAAGUCAGUGCUGUAAAAGGAUAGUUAUUAAUAUUAAUUUGAACAUUCAUGAUGCUGCACUUUAUCAUGCCUAGGUAAAGAUGGACUUGUAUUUUUUUCUCAAUAACUUUUUUCCUACGGAAACACAACAUCAGCAUCUAUAGAAAUUGAAACAUUGAACUGGAAUGAUUUCUCGCUUCAAAUUUUGAAUUUGGCCAGUGUAUGUACAGCUCCAUGUCAGAUAGAAAAAAUAGUGACAAACAUGAAACACAACUUGCUGAACAUGAAAGGUACAUAGGAUAGACCAUUCUUCUCUUCACUUUUGAAAAGUUUUCAGAAAUCAAACCGCAACAGAUCACUUUUCUUUAUUGAAUUGUAAAAUGCGCAUAGCUUAUUUAUUUAGUUUUUCUGGAAUGGCUCCAUUUUGAUUGCAAGAAAGGACAGAUAUCUCAUCCAAUGACUUUUAAUGUGGCUUAAGGUAUGACUAAAGUGAUGAUUCUUGAGCAACCUCUUGCUUUUGGGAUCCUUGAACACCUUCUCUACACAUGCUCGACUUUUAAUCUUUCAAUAUUCCCAUAACAGACAGCAGGAAGCUACACAAUUCCAGGCUCUGUUGAUAAAAAGGAAGAGGAAAACAAGAAAGUGAAUACUCUUAACAGCUUGAUAGAUUUUGAUGCUAACCUUGAGCCUUCUGCAACAACAGCAGUAGUGCAGACUCAACAAACAGUUCCUGUUGGUGAUGGUAGCAAGAGUGCUGCCAUGUCUUCUGCAAAUGAGAAGGCCUCUAAUGCUCCAAAUGCUAAUUCACUUGAACUGCUAUUGUUUGGACUGGCACAUCCUGCAGGUAGCAUGCCUGAAAUGUCUCCUGGUGGUGACAAUCCAGCUGCUAUUGUAGGUUCAUCUAAUCCUGAUGUGGGUACAGUUACGAACAAUGUUGCAAUUACUACUGCUUCACACAUUGAAAAUGCUGCACCAUGCCCUGGUAAUAGCAGUGACUCUAAGGAUAAGCUUGCUGAUGCCCCAACGCUGCCAGCUUUGCAGCAAAGUGAGCCAUUUGGAGCCCCUCCAGUAAAUAGUAACUUUACUGCUCAGAAGGCUACUGCUUCUCUGAAGCUGCAAACAAUGAGGUAAGAAGUUGAUUUGGCCUCAAGCUGUCCUUAGGAGAUCAUUCGUUCAAGUCUGGUUUAGGUACUCAGAUGCAACAGUUGAACUGCAAAAUUUUGUAUUCUCCUCUGUCUUGCUUUAAUUUGUCCAACCAAGGAGCAGUAGCUGAUUCUACUCUAUGCUGGCCUACAGUCCUUGACUUCAGAACCUGAGCAUGCUAAAGUGCAACCAACCAAUACAUCAUUUGGACAAGCAACACAAGUUGUCCCACAGGCAGCUAAUGAUACUAGUUUGGGAAAUGAAUUACUCAGUGGAAGAAAAGAACUUCCAGCGGUAUGAGCAUAGUGGAACAUUUUUGAUUUUUUAUGCAAUUCUCACUAAUUUCAUCUAAUUAUAGACUGUACCAUGCAGGACCUUUUUACAUCAAGCUAUUCAUCAUUUGCUGCUGCAGUUCCAGGCUGGCAAUCCACUUCCCCUUAUGGAAUGGGAUAUGGCACUCAGUACCAUGUUACUGCAAUGGUAGCAUAACACCCUCUAAAAAUUUAAGAUAACAGCAACUAAACAAAUUACUAGUUCUUUUAAUUAACUCAAUUUUUUUGUUCUCUCUCUCUCUCUGGGUACAGUCCAUGGGAGCUCACCAAGAUUCGGUUAAAUCAAGGAACCCAUUUGAUAUUGGUGAUGAUGGUCCUUAGCUCAAGGCACCAUGGUAGGCACAGAUCAUCUCAUUUAUUUUCUUCCCCUUCCACCCCCCCCCCCCAACAAAAAAACCCCACCAACCUCAUUCCCUUCCAAGGCCAGAAAAGGACCAACAGGCAUUUUAGCAUAUAAUUAAAAUUAUUGUCUAUAAUUUUCUCAGGAAGAUAAAUUUUUGUUUCAAUAUGUACUAGCCAUUCAUGCACACUCUACACGUGUGCCAUUCUAGAAGUUAAUUUAGCACAAGUUAUAAAUGAAGUAAAGUUUAACUUACAACUUUAACAAAGGAGUAGAUUAGGGCAGUUUGUUAUUUUUUUGAGGUUUUAAUGAAAAUGAGAAAAUUGGUAUUGCAACUGGCAACUGCCAGUAGAAUAGGUCAAAUCCUUUUAUAAUUAAGUAUGAUACUCUUUCCUAGCUACCUCUUAUCACAACUCCGUUCUAAAUUGUCACUCCAAAAGAAUAGUGAUUAACAUUUACUGGCUUGACAACCUGUAUCAUGCAUGCCUGCAAAUUUAGUUGAUGUGAGUUCGGAUGAACCUGAGUUGUGGAAAACUCACAGAAAGACACUUGUAGUUUUUUAUCUUCCUCGGUAUAUUCUUGCUUACAUUUGCAUGGUUGUGUUUCAUUUCAGGUUUCUAGAUCAGGCAUUUUUUGAAUUUGCUAACCAUGAAGUAUCACUCUCUUUGUUUAGCUUCCUUCAAUGUCACCUUUGCAAGGACAGAUGCCAAUAUGUCAACUUCGCAAGGGUUACAGCCUCAAGUAGUGCCAUAUUCAUCGGCAACGCAAACACACGGACCUCCUUAUGGAAUUAUGAGGCCUCCAGGUUAUAUGAAAGGAUUCACUUAUCUCUCUUAGAAUAUCUGUUUGUUUGUGUGUUAUUUGUAACAUAUUGUCAUCUUGACCUAUGGCAACACUUUCAGGAAUACAGGCAACAGAUAGCAAAUAAUAUACUUCCUUCCAGGUAAAGUCUUUGCUUUGGCUUCUUAUAACAUCAUAUUAUGGAUAUCUCUACCUGGUUGAACGAGGUAAAGACAAAUAGAGAAAGCCCUUAGGCUCUAUGCUUGCUUGAAUGCGAACUACUCUGUAGUCAAUUGAUCCAAUGGAAAAUAUUAAAAUAAGGACUAAAGUAACAUCUUACUCUGAUGUAUGCAGACCGCAAGGAGCUAAUACCUUCCAUGUCAAUGAUGCUGCCUUUGCCUCUCUUAACCCUAUUAAACAGUCAAGUGGAUGAACGAUGAUACUGCCUUUCUUCUUCUUAACCCCAUUCAACAAUCACAUGGCGUAAACCCCUCAUCAGCUACACCACAAUCCUACUCGUUGACAGGAGGAAAUCCAUUUGGAUAGCUGCAGACAAGUACACAUAGUUGAAUGUAGCACAAUAUGGUUCUCUUCUGAUUUCUGACCCAUUACAUCUGAAAUUUUGGUCGCUCGCUGCUGGAAUGAGCUAAAUUUUAAGUGAGCCAUCUAUGCGUUGUGAAUGUCCUUGUACCUUUAUGGGGAUGCAUAUACAAAGGAGUACUCUCAAGUAUUACUAGAAAUCUGUGUAGUACAUGCUCUCAUGUGCUGUGUAUACAAAUUAGAAGUCAGAAACUUGAAAAUAGUGACAUCUGUAGCUGGGAAUAGGUCCAAAGACCACCAUACUUGCAAAAUUCAAAAAAAAUAUAUAUAUUAUUUGAGAUUAUAGAAAAAGAAAAGAAAGGUAGAGGUAAUGUCUAUUUUAUGUGAAGUCUCAAUUACAUUGUAUUUAUUCACUUGUUCAGUUUAUUGUCUACAAGAAAUUCUUUUAAUACACUGAUUUUUGUAACCUGGCAAAACCAUUACCAUCCUUAUCCCAUUGUCUCGAGUUUUCUGGUCGCUUGAGCUGCUGCCUUAGUUGUCUCAAGGGAAAAUAACAGUUUCAUUCCUGAGCUUUGACCUACGUACAUAUUUCGUUCUCAAUUUUCUGGUACAACACAUUUAGUAAUUGAACUAUCAAUUUUUGAUCAAUUUUAUCCUCAAAUGGGAAAUGAAUGAAUUUGACCGGAAAAUUGAAGUUGGGAAGAAAGGUAUUGGAGUCAAGAGAGUGAAGAUAGUCAUUCUAUUUUGCUGAUUUUAAUCGUACAAAACUUUUUAUUUAAUGGGUCAUGCUCAUCAAAUGUCUAAUUUCUAUUCAAAUUGAUUAAAUUCUUAUUUGAGGAUGAAAUUACUCAAAAUUGAUAGUUUAGCUAUUAAAUAUAUUUUGCCAAAAAUUUGAGAACGAAAUAUGUUCAUGGCCUAAAAUUUGGGGACGGAAACUGGCAUUUCCUGAUGUCUCAAUAUGCCUUUGCGUGCAUAUUUUUUCACCUUCUCUGCAUAUAUAGAUGUCAGGAAAAGAGUCCAAUGAAACAUUGGUCUAACCAAUUCGUUCUUUCACCAAAACAAUCAUGUACACUUCACAAAUUGACGUGCUGGAAGCAAAAAAUAUUUGUUCGGACCAACGCGCAAUGGCACCUUUAGCGUAUUGGGUCACAUCUGCAGAAGUGUAAAGUGUAAACCCGAUCCACCUAAUCUAAGAAAAAAGGUCUGCUAUAAUGUGACAAAUUAAAUACCACUGCUACUUUUGUCUAACCCUCAUUACUGAUGCUGUACCCACAAAAAUCAGCCAAUGAAGUUGGACUGAUCAGUAGGUUUGAAAGGGGCCUAAUGAGGCAUUUAGCAUGGUUAGCAACCAGGAAACGAAGAAAAUUGUUUAUGUUAUGCAUCCAUAACCAACCAAAUUUGGGCAUUCAUAAUGUUAUGACAUAUGAGCUUGAGUGUUGGUACUACAUCAUAUCAUACUAAACUGUUUUCUGUUCAAGACAAAAAUGUCAAAGCUAAAAUAUGUCAUGUGUUGAAAAUAAGGGGUUGAAUCACUCACAACUUAUAUCCAAUAAUGUGGACAUUGGCACAUUGAUAUGGCUUUAAAUCCGACAAACUAACUGUAUUCAGCCUCUGAAAAGUCAAACUAAUUUUGGGUAUUGCUUUCCUACUCAUACUCCCUUAAAUACUUUUGAGCAUAUCAAGUUCUCGACCUUUUCAAUGGAUCCUUGACUUCUUUUUCUGUGUUUUCAACCCAGUGAACUGAAGUGUCAAACUGCUUGAUUUUACUUCAUUUGUCUCUUAUGUUGUGUAUAAUUGCCUUAAAUAUUGCAUUUCAUCAGUUACAAAAGGAUAUUGGCAACAUGUUUUCAUCAAAUCAAUUGCUUUUUAUUUUUAUUGUCUAUGUCUAUACCCUGAAAUCUGCUUUCUUACAAAUUGAAGCACAACCUUAUCAACUCGGCAAUUAAUAAAGAGAGAAGAAAAUGGCAUAGUUGGAAGAUGAUAUGCAUCUCAUUAGUUACCUUCCUAAGCAAUCAGGGUGACAGGUCACGACAAUAGACUGUACAUUUUCAUGCAGGAACCAAUGUCGGCAAAAAUUUAAUGCAGGGAUGGCUCUGGAAAAACGAGUACUGCCAUAAAGGACAGUUACUGUUUCACUGAUAUGAACAUUAUUUGGAGUUGAGAAAUUUUGGUGCAAUGAUUGAUGGCUUAAUGGUGGGGAUGCAAUCAUGUUUCCUCACAAUUCUUCUUCUUCUUGGUUUUUUUUGUUUCAAUUUUUACAGUUCACAUUUAGCAAUGGACGCUACUUUUGGCUUUGAAGCACAGCACAUCUUUGGAACAUCAAUUGAAAAACAACUGAUAUUCUUAGCUCCCUUUAGAUCGGGGUGUUUAUGAAAAAUUUUGCUGUAGAUGCAUAUCUUCUUAGCUCUUAAAAACUACUAUUUCCUACUAGCAAAAAUUGUGAAAGGAAGCAGUGAUUGGUGGACAUAUGUUAUUACUGAUUGCGUGGACAAUUGAACUAUACCUACCUACCUGAUGAAGAAAAGUCUUUGUAACGUACGUCUGAUUGAUACUUAAACAGGAAAUCAUGUUUAGCAUUUAGUAAUUACAACUAACUCUUUGUUUUGUAUGGAUCAGCAAGUGAUAAACCCUCUGGUGCUGAUCAGAGGUGGAAAGUACUACUCCCUCCGUCCCACUUUGAUAGUCUUGUUUUCCUUUUUGAUCUGUCCCAAAUUAUAGUCCACUUUCCAUUAAGAAAGGUAAUGAUCUUUCAAAUUGUCUACAAUACCUUAUUAAAUAUCUUGUUAUUAAUACAUUGUUAUUAAAUACUAACCCAUUACAUUGAAUACAUUGAGCUUUUCCAAUGCACUCUUCGUUAUUAGCAUAAGGGUAUUUUAGGAAAUUAUUAAUCUAAAUUUAUGUUUCCAACCAAAUUAAUUAUACUUUCUUAAUCUGUGUGAAAAAAAAAAUCAAGACUAAUUAAACGGGACGGAGGGAGUAGUAAUUCUUAGGAAAGAAAAGUUAUCUGCACGAACCAUACAUUAAAUACAUUGGACUGAAAAGCGCCAAGUUAGUUGGCCAUUUGACCUAUAGAUAGUCCUUUUUCCCCGAAACAUGUCAGAACACAUCAACUUGCAAGGUGUUUAUUGCACUGUUUCCAAGGAGAGGGAAAAAGAGGUCUGAACUCUGAAAUGGGGAGGAGCAUCAGGGUUUGGGGAUUGAUGAUCACAGUUUAUGUGUCAAUGAUGUUAGCUCAAAAUGCCACAGGACAAAGCACAUAUGCUUGUUGGGGAGGAUGUUACAAUGUGUGCUUUCUGCUUAGUAGCAGACCAAUAGUAGAGAGGUAUCCGUGUUAUUUCAAUUGCCUGGCCAGCUGCUUUCCUCAGUCUGCUCUGGAAAGCCAGCUUUACUAUUGCCAUGUUGGUUGUUCAGCACAACGUUGCCUCCAAAUAAAAGAUGGUAAUAUCAAAUUAAGCACUCUCUGCUCUGUGUGUGUGCGUGUGUGGGUGUAUUUGUGUCUGCCUGAGAGUUUUUCCGUCAAACUUUGAGGAAAAUCAUCUAAGGCUUACUUGCAAUAUUUUGGCUGAAUUCAAGGCAAUUAACAAUGCAAGAAUUGGUGAAGGGUGACCACUCUUUUUCUUUUUCUUUCUUUGCUUUCUAACACGUUUCUUUCUGUCUGUUUGUCUUCAUCGGCAGCUUCUGCAAGGGAGAAAUGCUUUGGGGGCUGUGGAGACGCCUGCAAAACUUAGAACUGUCUUGCAAUUCUGUGGUGCAUCCAACAUGGGGAGUUUGAUCAUACUGCUUUAUGUAAUAAACAAUAAUUUAAUGGUUCUUCUUUAUCUUUUCAUUCACCGAGAAAGGAAUGAACUCCAUCCUUUCAAAAUUGUCCCUCCUUUUGUUCUUCCCCAUUCCUGAUCAAGAAGAAAGUAUAUUUUCCUUUUACUAUUCUUGUUAUGAUUCACAUAGCGCAUCAAGCAAGGUGGAAAUGUUAAACAUUACAAAAAAAAAGGUGUGCAUUAAGAUCACAGAUCUUUUAAUCAGUUCACUAAGGCGAAGCUUGAAAAGCUUUCCAGGAUUUUGCAUUGAGACCUCAAUUAUGGGUUACCAUGAAAGCAAAUUGCAGAAGAAGACUGACCACCAUACAGUUUUCUUAGCCUGAGAAGCAAAUAAACAACAAUUCCACACAGGAAACCUAGUGCUGCACUAGAGCCUACCAGUGAAACAGCAGUGCAAAUCAGCAUGACAAAUGCAUCUUCCUUCGAGUUCAUGUCCCUUGAGCAAAUAGCAAGUUCAAUCCCUGCAAACAAUAACAGAACCCCUAGGACACCAACAGGAAAUUGGUCCAAAAUCUUCACUAGAGAGCUACCUAAAACUAAACCCAAAACCAACUUGGCUAAACCAAGGAGGGCCACACAUCCACCACUCCGCCCACCGAAUUUAUACUGUCCAGCUAGCCCUCCUGCACCGUGGCAGCAUGGCAUGGCUCCAAACCAACAUCCUAUUAAGUUCAUCAUUCCAACAGUAAUUGAAACAGACGUGGCUGAGAUGUCCUUCUCUGGAAAAAGAUCAGUCGACAACUUACAGACAGCAAUCACUGAAUUUAGAAUUGAUAGUGGAAGUUGAGGAAUUGUGCCUUAAUGAAUCCUUCCUUCCAUGCAUGCUUAGACAUUUUCACAACUUCAAUAGGAGAUGGUCCAAAUUUAAAUCCUUUGACUGCUUUAGGCCCUCUAAUAAUUGCCAAAACCACACCUAACAAAAAGAUGAUGAAAGCAGAAGGCAGAGAAGUUAUGAUUUUUUGCAACCUUUUUCUUCUGUUGUUUCCUGAUCCACUGGCAUCAUUGGCACCGCUCUCAGUUUCUGCUGCAUACUCAUUGUCAUCGCCAGCACCGUUGACAACUAUAAUGAAACAAGCACAAAUAAUAGCCAAGAGCAAUCCAUCUAAGCCUAACCAAUGCCUGUCUGAACCAGACUUUGACUUAGAAAAGUUUUGUACUUUUCUUAUGUACUCACUGCAGUCAUAGCAAAUGACAGCCUUUUGCUAGCUGAAUUCCUCUGACGAUUGAAUUGGGAUAAGCUUAUACACAAGUUGCAUCAAACCUGUUACACCAAGAACAAGUAAAAUCCCUGCAGUGCAAAUUCCUGAUGCCAUAACUUCUGGAUAUUAAAAUCUGCAUCAGAUAUGGCCACUGCUGCAAUUGACUUCAUCGGCUGCACUGGCAUGGGGACACCAUAGAUUGCACCUGUGACAAAGUUGUAUACACCAGUGAAUAUCAGUGUGGUACCAAGAUUCAGGUCCUGGCUAGUGCAAAGCCAAAAUUAUAGGAAUGUAAGUGCCCAAAUCCCCAUCGCACCAUUUAACUCAGCCACUUGAUCUGAAAAUUAAGUGUUCUUCACUUUUUCUACAACACUGCUCCUUUGACCUUGAUUUCUGAUUUGAUUAGUGUUUCAGAAGGGUUUUCCAUUGCUAACUCUUUUUUGGUAGUUUAGUGGCUGUGGGUUAUUAGGUAGUUCUUGUUAUUGAAAUGGUGCAAAAAUAUGUAAAGAAUCAGUCAGGAUUUGAUUGGUUGAAGAGAGGUGUAUUUGUGUAUGAUUGCAGGCCUGCAAGACAUGUGAAAGAACAGGUGUCGUUAACUUAAUAAUGCGCCCUUGCAUUGAUGGGAGGUCGUUGGCAAAGGAGAAAUGUCUGCCGCUGAAUUUGGCCCAAGGCAUCAAGCAAGCAAGAAAUGUUGCAGAUAUAUUCUAUUAGAUAUAUUCCCUCAAACGAAUUGACUCUGGGAAGAAUAUGAACGUUGUUGAUGAUUAAGACUGUUUGGCAAGCCUUGACCUCGAGUGAGAUGUGUAAAGAAUCUCAAAAGAUGUGUAUAACCUCACUUAAGAUUUAUGCAACAUAUAAGCCCAAAUCAAUGAAAGGUUCAAUAGACAAAUAAUUGUUGGAGAGAGAAUGUAAUUUGUGGCAAAAAUGCCCCUACUAAUUGUUGCAACUAUUUUUUUGAGAAACUAUUAAAUGAAUUAAAACUUGUCAAACGAAAAGCAAAAUCCUGUAGGUAAAGCUAAAAAAUAUGUAAGAGAUGCAUUAACAAAGUUUAGAUGAUCAGACUGGCCAAGAGCUAAAUUUGCAAAGUAACUCAAAUAAAUAUAACACCCAGAAAAAAAAAACUUAAAAAGUAAAUGACAUAGGACAUUUUUUUAAUAGUACGUAACUACUAUUGAAAAAGUGUUUCAUUUGAAUUUGAAGGAGAAAUUUGCGCCAAUUUCUUAAAGACAAUUGGCCAAUUUUCUAUCCUUUUUUUCUCUAAAUGUAGUCCAAUAGCAAUUUUUUAGGGCAUGUAUAGUUAAUAUCACAAAAUACUAAGGAUACGAUAGUCAUUUCGCCACACCUUAUAUGGUCUCAAUCUUAUAUUAGGAAAGGCACGUGAGAUUUUCAAAAAUUGAAGGAAGGCAAGUGAAAUUGUCAAAAAUUUUAGGGAAGGUUUCUAAAAUUAUUAUCUAUCUCUAAUCUCUUUAUCUUCUUUCACUUUUUAUUUUUAAACAUAGGGGUAGGUUCAUUAUAAAUUUCAAACAUUAUCAUCUGCUCGAGAUUGCAGAGACUUUAGUAAGAUAAAUUUAAGGGCAAAUUACUUGUGACCUUCUUGUAAUUUUACACAAUGUCAGAUGACCUCCCAUAAGAUUUUAAAAUAGUCAUCCAAUCCCUCUGUAAUUUUAUGUAAAGUGCAAAAUGGACGAAAUGCACAAUCAAUUAUGGCGUUUAUAUCAAACGCACUUUAAAAGCGCAUGUGAUAAAAUUUUAAUAUCCAUAUAACUCGUCUAUAAUUUGUAUAAAUAUCUACUUUAUUCCCCUGUGAUUUUUGCAUUUAUCUAGAUAAUCUCCCUUUACUUUUAUACAAAGUGGUUAAGCCGUCGAUUAAUUUAGUAUUUAAGUAAGGAUACUAUUGGUAUUUCAACUAAUGACGUUACAUAGGUUAUUUUCCGUCAAGUUUCCACUUUACAUAAAAUCAUAAGGGGGUAAAUUAAACUUUUAAAAUGUCAAGAAGCCAUAUGGCAAUAGAUGAAACUAUAGGAGAUUAUAUGUAAUUUGCCCUAAAUUUAAACUUUCAUCCAUUACUGAUCGACCACUGGACCUACUUGUUAUCCUGUGUGCCCACAAUAAAAUAACCAUUCUAUCAUAAUUUAUAUGUAUAUUUCUAAUCUAUCUAUCUGUCUACCACUCCGUAAGAGCCAAGAAUUGUGAGGACUCCCAUGUUGACCUACAUUAAUUGCCUUCUACGGAAAAGGUUGUCAAAUAGGGUGACGAAGUUUUGAACUUUUCUAUGAGUUUAAAGAACGAUUAUAAAAGCCUUAAUCACCCGAGCCAGAGACCUCAACUUCCCAUUUUGCAUUUCCCUUAAACUUUAGUCACAAAAAUCCGUGGCCUAUCUUCAUCUUUUCAACAUUUCUCUAAAACCAACCUCCAAAAAUCCUCCAAUCUCAACUUAUCCUCUUAAAUUCCAUCCAAAUUCAAAAAGGAAAAAUCAAUAAAAGAAAGACUAGAAAAAAUGAAAAAAAAAGACAAUAGGAAAAAAGAAGAAUAGAAAUGUAGGUGUUGCCUUUGUCGUUGCUAGAAUCCACCAGUGCCUACCAAACCAUCAUCAAAAUAGCAUUAUAAAGGGUCAAAAGUUAAAUUUUAUAAUAGUUUGAGAGCCAUUGGAGCAUUUUGCCCUCAAAUACUAAUUACAAUUAAACCCAUUAAUCAUGAAAAUGUCAAGAGUUUACCCAACCAAAACUCAGUUAAUUAGGGCAAUAAUCGAAACAUCUUCUCUUAGAGUGUCGCUAUGCAUUAAUACCGCAGACGAUCUGCUAAAAUACCGCAUUCGAAUCCAUAAAUCAUAGCAAGAUUUACCAAUGGACCCUAAACCUAAGUUAACCAAAUAAUAGCUUGCUACUGGCUUUAAAAAUGCACCGCAGCACCAACAAGAUGGCAGACUAUAGACAAAGAUCCUGAUUAAAGUAAAGCACCGAAAAAUUGUAUGAAAAGCAAACUGAUUAAAAGCGAUUAAUCUACUAGCUAGGGUAGGCCUAGCGCCCAAAGAAGUUUUCCUAAAGUCCUUCUCGCUAUUAGAUUCAGGAUUUGUGACAAUUUCUCGAACACCGAUAAUAUCCUGAUUCCCCUAUGGGAAGGAAAGUGAAUUUAAAAUAAAUUUAGAUGGUGCUAUAUCUAAAGAUCCGUUACAUUGCAUCUUUUUCUGAUUAUUACUUGGGUUCCUAAACUUUAAAAUGAGAUACUUUGUAUCUAAAAUAUAAAAUCUGUCACAUGUAAGUAAACUAAACUUAUUGACGGAAGUGUGUAGGGAUGGCAGCAAAGCGAUUUUUGGGUGGGGAAACUUCCCCUGACCCCGACCCUAUUUUACAAAAGUUCUCCUGCGCCCCACCCUGCCGUGCCCCAUCAAUUAUGAUUUUUUACUUGAUUUAACAUUUUAUAUUUAUAUAGAUCUAAUAAUUGUUUGGAUUAGCUGUUUUUGAAAGUAUUUUUGAAAUAUUUUAUUAUAGUAAUGUAGGUGAAAAACUUUUACUUUAAGCGUUUCUAAUGGUGUUUUUGAAAAUAUAUUUUAAGAUUUAAAAUUUUAAUGAAAAAUUUUAUAAAACUUUACCACCAUAGCGACUAGUAUCUGGUCGCGGCCAAAUAAGAGGGUGUGACGACCCCACCUUCCCCUAAGGCGUACCAAAGGGUUCGGCGGACCGCCUGCCCAACUCUCGCCAGGACUCACUCACUCACUCGUAUCACGUGCAUACAUUCAUGGACCAUAGAUAACAUCGCAGUUCAAACUUAUAAUUUACAUUGAUGUAAGAUCAAGGUACAAAUCCUUAAUAUACCCCAAACGGGUUCAAAGUAUAUACAAUCCUAAUACAAACAUUCUAUUCGAGAAAUAGCGCGAGUACAAGUCAAAAGUCAAAAGUUAAACAACUAGACUACGCUAGUCUUUACACGUCUCACGUCUCGCUCGUACCCCUGUAAGGAAAACAAAACUAACGGAGUGAGCCAAAACUCAGUGAAGUUCCAAAUAUCAAAUUGGCCAUAUGAAACAAGGUAAUAACAGUGUAAUAGUGAAAUAGCGAGCAAUCAAGUUCAAUCAAAGAGAUAGUACUUCAAGUAGUCAAGAAAUAUAUGGAUCCUGUUCACACGUAAGGAUACAGUGGCUCAUGUCUCGGCUCCUUCCCAGCUUGAUCAAUUAGUAGUUGACACUCCGUCAACUUUCAAGUAAUAACUAGUCCAGAAAUAAUACCCCACUUCACGCCAGUUUCCGUCCACCAAUCCAACCCCCUUUUCCGGGUCUGCACGUCACACGAAACACGGGUGGUAAUACUCGAGUAUACCGUUUUGUCGAGGAGAUACACUCCACUCGACAUUACUAGUUACUCAGGGUUCAUUAUCUAAUCAACCAGGCCCUUGCCGGCUCGACUCGAUUAACUAGUCUCAGGAUUUUUGGAAUUCCAGACAAGAUGAAAUUUGUAUGCAAGUAUAGCAUUUCAAGUGAAAUCAUGGAACAAUAGCAAAUUUGAUUAGGGCAAGUGCGAUAAAGUACACUCUUGUCCUAAAAUUUCACGUAUAUAACAUGUAACCACAUUGGUCAUGUAUCAAAUACAAGUAUUCAGUGGCAAUUCGAUAUUUGAAAAGCACUCACCAAAACAAGUAUAGUGCUUUUAAUGAUCUCGUCCAGGUGGUACUCCUGGUUUGGAGUCCAAAUCUGCGAUAAAACGUUGCUUAAAAAUUUGGAAAAAUCCAGUAAGAUUCGAAACUUAAACGUUUCGUUCAACAAGAAUCAAGAAAUUGAAAUUCACUUGAAAAAUAGUCGUGAAACGGUUGCUCGCUUUUCAAACUGAAAAGUUUUGUAACAUGUAUACUUGGAAAUAACUUUUGAGUCGAAAGUGCAAGGAAAACGGAUUUACCUUGGUUAUUACCAUUUUUCCUAAGGAUACAAGUUCGGCUAAGUUCUAACGUAUAACCCAAAAGGCCUAGAUGGUUCAAGUGAUAUUCACUUAUCAACUUUACCCAAGUCGCAAGUGUAUUUCUUUAGUUCUCGAGCGUAAAUUUGGGCAGCAUGCCCUUUGUGUUGAGCGUAAAUUUGGGCAGCAUGCCCUUUGUGUUUACCUAAUUUUUCAGCCAUUUUGGCUGCAUUAUCUUUCUCAUUCAAACCCAAAGGUACACACACAAUAAUCUAACUUCAAUAGCCGUCCAAUAGGCUCAAGACAAUACAAAGACAAAAAUUCAAGUUAAUAACAAGUGCGGAAAUGAAACUUAACAAAAGACAGAUUUGACGGGUUUUUCCGGAAAUGACACAACCGAUACUAUGCUUAUCGGAUUGAGAUGCAACCUAUACCAUUUCGAAGCUAAGACGAAGGCCUACAAUUUUCAUGAAGAUCACUUGAUCCAAUUUCCAGUGUAACCAGUCAAAUUCUCAGUUAACCGAACCAGGUUCCAACAAAUCGGCUAAUUAACCGUACUACAUUUAAAUGGUCAUAUCUCAGGCUACCAAAGUCCGUUUAAGGUGUUCUUGAAGGCGUUUAAAAGUAAGACAGAGUACUAAAACUUUCAUGUUUUGGAAAAUGGCUAAAUCAGCAUGGAUCAUAGUGAAUAAACACAAUCAAUUGGAUGAACUGUCCAAAACGGAUGACUGGAAAUAUCCUAAGGUAGCGAGGGUAUUUUGGUCUUUUCAUAGGCUACGUUGCUCCGAUUAAGCUGAAAUUUUGUAGGCACCUAUAAAAUAUCAUUCUCUACAACUUUUGUUUUUUAUUCCAAGCCUAAUUCGGCUUCUAACAUGAUGCAAUAAAACCGGACAGAACUGAACUGAAAUUUUCCAGAAAUCUGGAAAUUUUGGGAUUCAAUGAAACUUUCUUGAUUUCUUGCUCCAAUCAUCACUACAACCACUUAUAUAAGCUUAGAUACAACAUAUCUCAUCCAUAUAGCAAGUAUAGGCAGCAAAUACCUCAAACCCUAACUCCCAUAUGUCACCUUUAAAUCAUCAUAACAACUUGUAUCACUACUAAUCCAACUACCUCAUAAAUUAUACAACAACUUAAACCAAAAAUAAAGAACCAAAGCCAUGGUUUAGCCUUAUACCUCAACAAAUGAAGUUUGCAAGAGUAAUACUUCACCUUCUCUUAGAAUUCUUGUUCCCGUAGCUUCUCAAGCUCACAACUCACUCUUUAAUCGGUUUAGAAUUUUAAAUCCUUACUUGGAUGGCUCAACUCAAGAAGAAGGAAGUUUGUUUCUUGCUCUCUUUCUCUCCUCUCUUGUCUCGGCCAAGCAGCAGAAAAAUGGAGGGAAAUGGAGCAAAAUGAAGGAUAAGAAGGUUGGACUUUUGGCUUGUUUAAGUAGCCAUGGUUGAGUAACACUUGUCACCACUAAUACCAACCAAAAUUUUCUUUUUCUUUCUUGCAUUUUUAGCCCAAAUAUUCGGUCAAAGCUAGCUGGAAAAUGAGAGGAUAUUUUGCUCAAACAUUAAUGAGCUUGUAUGGUAAGAAAGUGGUGGUCAAAUGGUGCGUUCAAUCGGUAGUGCGCGGUACCCGACGGUUUGCGCCGUUUUUCCUUAAAUCGCACGUAUUAGGGUUUUUACUUCCUAUUCACUAACUUUUUAUCAUUGUUUCUAAUCACAUAUUAUUUCUCACCCAAAAGUCACUCUUAAACACCAAAUUUGAUCCUUGCUCCGUACCGGAUAAUUACACUACGGAUACACGUGAAAACCCUAACUUGUUCCAACUUGAAAACGAAAAGUGAAACCCUACUUUCUAGAUUCAUUUGCACUUAAUGUGGAAUGAUUGGGUAGUAGAGUUAUAAUAAAUGAAUAAUUUCCAAAUAAAAGGGCAUUUUUAAGAAAAAUAUAAGGAAUUUGCGAGUCCUCACAACGGGAGGAGAGAAGAGGGGAAGGUGGCAGCAGGUGGUGGUGUGUGAUGAAAGUUGGUGGUGGUGGUGGUGGUGAUAGGUGAAGAAGAAAGGGGGGUUUUAUUUUUUUAAAUAUAUUUGAAAUGUGUCAUUUUUUUUAGUUGUUUUUGGAGUUACUUUUAGAGUUUAUUGCUGUAAACUUGAAAGACAAAAACAGUUUUUUAAAAAACUCUUGAAUCCAAACGGAUUCUCACUUUAUCAUAACAACAUAACAUAUUACUUAAUUUAUAUAAAUAUAUUUAUAUAAUAACAAUAACAUAGCAUUUAUUUCAUAUUAUACUUUUUUUUUUUGUAAGUGGAAGGUCCAACCUUCCCUCCAUAUUAUACAUAUAAAAAUAUACAUAGAUGCUAUACUAUAUUAAAAUUGAGGCCAGGGUGGUAGGGAUAUGUUCCCCCAUCCCAUAUCCCAUUUGCUCCCCAAUCCAAAUCCCCCCUCCCCCAAACACCAUUCCUUCCAGUGGAGUGGGCACCCACCUCAAUCCGUAAAAGUGAGACUGAUUUUAUAAUUUGAGAACUUAAAUGAGAUAGAUUUUAUAAUUUAGAAACUAAAGUGGAACAGAUUGUAUGCUUUAUGAAUUAAAAUGCGACAAAUUUUAUAAUUUAAUGACUAAAGAGUCUCAUUUUAUAGUUUAAAGACCAAAGUAGGAAUUUGAAUAUAGUUAAAAGGUGCAAAGUGGAAUUAACCUUUACAAAUUUGGGAGCAGCGAGCGGGGGGGGUGGUUGUUCGUAAUUACGAGGGUGAGUUUAUUUUCUGGAGUUCAAAGUCUAGAGGUUGUGCAAGCCUUAAUUUGCUGCAAUAGAAACCAUUCAUAUUGUGGCUACGUUCCAGAACAAUUCACUUAUAUUACAAGGUGAUGCACUGGGAAGUAUUCAGUCCUCGGUUGAAGAUAAAGAAAAUUGUUUUGACAUUGGAAACUUGAUUGCAGAUGCUAAAAGGCUGCUCAAACAAGUCAAACAAUGCAAGACUCAGUGGGCUAAGACUUAAAGAGAGAUGCAAAUGGGUAGCAGACAGUUUAAUUUAAUUCGUUCUGCUUCUGAGUUAUCUGAGUCUAUUAAGGGGAACGGCUAUAACAUUCCUCCUUGUAUACAUUCAGCAAUUUGCAGAGAUACUUUGACAUUUAAAUAUUUAGUCCUACUCCAAUGUGGUUUUGGCGACUGUUGUCUUUUGUUUCUCCCAUGCAGAGGAAAGUGUCAUGAGUUUGAAGAAGCAAUUAAUGCUGCUGCAAUUAAUUUUUAGUACAAAAUCUACAUAUUUAUAACAUCUCCAAUGUUACAUGUACAUUAAUUUAGUCCUAAAAACCAUUUGUACAUAUUUCAAAAAAUUAUUCUUAUUGUGACAAUUUUUCAAAUUAGAUUUGCAAUCCUAUAUUAGUCCUAAAAACCUAACUUAACUAAUAAGUCCCUAACUGAACUUUCAACCCUUGAGAAAUUUUAUCCGUACUUACCAUUUGACUAAUGAAAUAUUACCAAUUAGACAUAUAAGGACAUACAAUCUUAUUUGGAUUGUAUUUAAUAUGGAAUUAGUAAGCUCCACAAUCUAAUUUGAAGCUUUUCAUUGUUCAAAGGUCAUUGAUUCAAGAUAAAAUUUCUCCAAUCUCUCCAAUUUUCCUUGUUCUCAUGUAAGCCUCACUUGAAAAAAAAUAAAUUAUAAAGUAUGGAAAACUUUGGUUCGACAUAGUAGCAUGUAAUCAAGAUUCAAGAUUCACCUAUAAAUGACAUGCAAGAAAUUAAUUUCCAUAAAACAAUGAAAAAGAAAUUAUCAUUAUGAGAAAUUCUACAUUGUCAUUGUGGGUAUCAUAUUUUUAGCUCGACAUUUAUAGUUCAUGCUAUUGAACAAUUGGUACCUAUUGUAUCUGACGCUUUCCCUAUCUUCAUAUCCAAGCUUAUGUACAUGUCCAACAAUUUCAGAAAUUAAUUUGAAGUGUGCGAAUUUUACAAACAAACUUUGCAAUCAUAUCUGCUAAUAAAUCUGGACUCAACACAAAGAUAUUCAGAACGACACAAGGGGCACAUAUGACUCUCUUGUAGCCACUUGCGAAUGCAAUCUCCAUGGAAGACAUGAUAGCAAUGCAAACGAGUGACUUCUGAUCCAGAACCAAGUCUUCCAAGCAAAUUGGACAAGACUUGUUUGAACUACAACCCUCUAGCCUCACCACCUCCAGUUUUCUAAUGCAUGAUGGACUUGUUGCUCUAAACCUUGUGCUUCUUUCGUACGUCAAUUCUUCAAUCGUUCGCGGCCUGCUAAUUGCUUCUUUGUAGUCCUUCUCGAAAUUGGGGUCAUUCUUCUUCUUGUCAUCAUACCAAGAAUUCCAUUCCUUGAGCUUGCUAUGUGGGACUUUAACUUCUUUUCUGAUUUCUAAUGUAAAAGGCAGAAUAUUGUAGCUUGCAGGAUUGAUACUGCUUAAUUUUUCCCUCAUCCAACAUGCAAAACCAUAAGCAAAAAUAGCCGUCCUUCGAUAUCUAUGUCGAAUGGAAAUAACGUUUCAUCACUAGUAAGCAUGUAUAUUACUCUUUCUGUGAAGACUGAUUUUGAGGCCAUAUAGUGCAGUGGAAUAUUAAGUUGUUCUGCAUUCAUGCAUUAGAAAUCUUCAUGAAUUUGAAGAGAUUGAAUCAAUUUGAAGUUUUUUAAGAGAUGUGAAUACAAUAAUCAAUUAUUGACCUACAUAAGGGACACAUAUUACUCGUUAGCAACCACCUCGAAAUACAAUCUCUAUGGAAAAUAUGCGAGCAAGGCAGUCGAUUUUCUUGUAUUCCCACCUUCGACUCAUCUAGACAGAUACAACAAUAACUUCUUGAACUCAAACCAUCAUCAAGGGUUACCACCUCUAAUGCUUGAAUUGACGAUUUGGUUGCUCCCCUAGAUAGAAGAGUCGUUUCAUAAAUCAAUUCUUCAUCCGUUCUUGGUCUUCUAAUUGCUUCCUGAAAUUCCUCUCAAAAUUGGGAUCAUUACUUCUCUUAUCCUUAUAAUAAGCAUUCCACUCCUUGAGUUCAUGGUCGGGUAUUGUAACCAUCUUCUCUAUCUCUAACUUGAACGGCAAUUUCUUCUUGCCAGAAUUAUGUGCCUGUUCCUUCAUGCACAGAAGAAAUAGCCAGAUUCUUUCAAGAAAAUCUGAGUUGUCGGUCAAUUUGUCGUCUCUUGUUGCCUCGUUUAACAGCUUUUCUCUCCAGAUCGCUCCAUCGAACUCAAAAGGGAUUUUCAUGUCAUACAGCAUAGAUGAUAUGGUUUCCCUCCCGGACACUGCGGUUACUUCAUGACAGGGUAUACUGAAAUAUUUCUCCAUAUUCAGGCCUUCGAUGCACCUCUCAUUUGUACUGACAUUGUCUGAGAAGAAAAUUACAGAAAGUUUGAUUAGGAUUGCAAAGUGAGGAAAUUCAAGUUUUUGAUCAUCACGUUCAGCCUGCCCUGGUUGUGAUGCUUUCACGGAUAUAACGUACUGAUUGUGAGCGGUCAAUGGUGGCAACCAUAUUGGUGACUCCAUUAUUUAGACCUAUAGAUUAAUUUGCAAGUGAAAAACAAUCACUGGAGGGUUAUGAACAAUUAGGGGCAAAAAAAAAAAGGGAACGCUAGUAUGCAAUUUACUGGAGGCUGGCUGAAAUUAGAUAUAAAAGGGAGUAUAAAAUCUUGAAAUCGUUUUCCAGAUGUGAUUAGGAUUUGAGUUUAUUAAAUGACAGGAAUGGACAUUUCACUUGGGAGACAAAUAGCGUAGGCAGUUCACUUGGGAGACAAGGCUAACCCGUUUCCUUCACUGUCGGCUAUUGUAUUCAAUUUAGGAAGAAAAAAGGGUUAUUAUCUCUUUAUCCCAUUAACGUUUGAUGCUACGAUCAAUUUUCCAUUUAACGUUAUCUUUUAAUCACUUUACCCUUAAGACUGACGGUCUAACUUAACGGAAUUUGUUAAUUAAAGUGAAAAGACAUGUUUAACCUUUAAAAUUAUUAUCACUUUACCCCCAUAAAAUAGUCUCAUUAUCAAUUUACCUCCAAAGUUAUUUUUUGAACAAUUUAUCCUACCAUUAAACCAAUUUAGCAAGUUAAAAAAUUUUAGAAGAAAAUAUCCUCCUCUUUGCAUAAUAAAAAUAAUAAAAAAUUUAAAGUGACUCUUUUCCUUUUUAGUAUAAAGAAAAAAAGUCAAAAUAUUAAUUUCUUUCUUCUUGGCAAUCUUAUUAAUAUUAAAAAAAAAUAAAAAGAUGGAGAGGAGGAAGGGGAGGGGAGGGAGAGAGAGUGAGCUCAAUUCUUUUUUUAAAAAUUACAAAUAAAAAAGAAUUAAAUACUUUUAUUAUUUUAAAAUUAUUUCACUUUUUUGUUUACCACCAAAUUCCAAUCAUAAUCUCGACAACCUUAAAGUAAUACGAUAAUGUUAGACUUUUCUUUAUUUUCUUUUUUUUUUUGUAAAAUCUAAUGUUUUUUGUCUCCUUCUUUCCUAUCUCUUUUUCUUUUCCUAGUAUUAAUAAAUGUGAAAAAAAGAAAUUUGAGAAAAUCCUUUUAUUUUUUAUGUUUUUUGAUCUCUUAAAGUGCAAAAAUGAAGAAAAAUCAUUCCAACUUUUUUAUUUUUAAUUAUAUAAAAAAGGGUAAAUAUAUUUAAAAAUUUUUGACCAUACUAGUUAGACUAACGAUGAGGUAACAUGUCUAGAAAAUAAUGUUAGGAGCUAAAGUGAUUGUAUCACUAUAAUCUAAAUGAAUAAAGUGAUAAUAACAAUGUAGUAAUGCUAUAAAAUAAAAGAGUAAUUUUUGUCUAAAAUUCUUAACAUGUUGAGUUAAAUUACUUAUGGAGGUAAAGUGACUAAAAAAUAACGUUAGAGGAUAAACUGACAGUAGUAAUAUAGUUUAAGGGGUAAAGUGAUAAUAACCCAAAAUUUUUUUUUUUUUUUUGGUCUCUUCAUUUGUUUUUUCGUUUUUAGCAUUAUCUCCAAUCCAGCCGUUAAGUCUAUUCAUUAAGAUGACUUUCCUAUAUUCGUCUACUUUUGAUAUUCUUUUUUGUUUUUUAGGUUCAAGUACAAGUUACUUCCCAUGUGAUUUAAAAAAUUAUACAUAACCCUCUAAUAAUUUGAACUAAAGUGUAAAAAUGAGGAAAAUAAUCAUCUAUAACAUAACCUAGAGAAAUAUCAAGAUUAUCCCUAUUUAAAAACCUAAUAUGGAUGACAAUUUAACCUCUUGUGAUUUUGUGUUUUUAUCACAUAAUCCCCUUAUUUAGUGGUUUACCAUACAACCCUUAUAAUUUUUAAAUUAUAUAUAUAUAUAUAUAUAUUAUAUAUAAUAUUAUAUAUAUAUAUAUAUAUAUAACCACCCAUGUGGUUAUCAAAUAAUUUUUAACUUUACAUAGUGGUAAUUUAUAUAUAUAUAUAUAACCACCCAUGUGGUUAUCAAAUAAUUUUUAACUUUUACAUAGUGGUAAUUUUGACAUUUUUUAGUUGAUUCCAUUAUGGAACGCAAAUUCUAUUACUUUGACACUUUAGUUCAAAUCAUGAGGGAUUAUAUAUAACUUUUGAAGCCAUUAGAGAAUUACAAGGAAAAGUGCUAAACCAUAGGGUUGAGGUUGUAAUUUACACAACGUUUAUAACAACGUUUGUUAUGAUGAUCUUUCAAGUUUAUAACAAAAAGAAGGCUUGUUUAAUUUUGGGGAAACAUUUCAACUUUCUGAAAUAGUUCUUAGAACAGUACUAUUGAGCACGACUCAAGCUUAUUUUUAUUAGUUUUAAUUAACAUUGUUUUGGAUUUUUUACAACACUUUUUUAUCUUCUGAGAGUUUCUGCAAUUUGAAAAAGAAGAAUAAAAUAAAAAAGAGACUAGGGUAACUGAUGGAGAAAUACAAUAACAAGAUUGAAUAUCAAAAAUACCACAAGAGAUGUGACACAUCCCUCAAAACUUAAAACUCUCAUAACAUUUUAUCUAAAAUUUACAACAUUUAGCGAAUAAACGUCCUAAACUGAUGAGCACGUCCUUAUCCUUCUGAAGUAUGCAAAAUAGUGCAUGAACUGAGAAGAUUUCUAUCAGGAACAAAAAAAGAAAAAGCAAAGGCUGGCAAUUUUUUGGUGCAUCUAGGAAGUUUGACCAUAUUCCUCCAUGUAAUAAACAGGCAUUAUUUUCUUAACUAUUUUAGAAACUUGAUUUUAACUUUUGAUUUUUGAAAGGCUUUUGGGCCCAUAAAAGCGGAAAAUCAAAAGCACGUCUUGAUGUCAAUUUUGAUUCUAGCCUACUUUUUCAUGUAAACAAAAUUAUUCUUCUAAUUUUAAUAUAGUUAUUAAACUACCUUCAGAUGACCAUUUAUGUGUCCUUUUUUUUCUCAUUUGCCAUUUAAUCUUCAUAAGAAAAGUUAUUAAUUACAUCAAAAUUAUUUAAUUAGCGCAAAUAUUCAUUGAUAUAGCAUAUAAGUGUAACAUAGUUAUUUUUGUCAAAAUCAACUUUUUAACUUUUUUUGAGAACAUCUAUGCAUUUAUUCAAAUGACUUUUGUGAACAAGAGUUAUUUUGAAAAGAUCUGAUUUUCAAGAAGCAAUUCUACAAAUCAACUUUUACAAAAUUAGAAUCAGUUGAGAACACGCUCAUAAUAGGGUACGAUUUAGCGAUAAAAAUAAACUAAAAAAUGCCUCCAUCUCCUUGAAACAAGGGAUUUUAUGUUUGUGUGUACCGUUUAGGAACGUUGGAAUUUUCAAAUGUGUUUUGUAGGUGGACUCUAAAUAUAAUAAUAUAUGGUUCUUUUUUUCCUUAGUGUGGUAGGAAUAAACUCCAUCCUUAAACAAUUGUCCCUCUUUUGUCUUCAUUUAUUUAUGAAAGGGUUAAAAAAAAAGUCCCCUGUGGUAUAUCUACACAGAAAAGUCCUUCAUGGUUUCAAAACAUAUAAAACGACACUUCAUUUUUGAAUUAAAUUGUUAAACUAACAGAAUUCGUUAAAUUUAAUGGAAUCCGGUAAUUUAAUGGUAAAUUUAACGGAAUCCGGUAAGUUUAACAGCCGAAACCGUUAUUUUCAUUAAGUUUAACAAAUUUCUGUUACUUAUAAUUUAGUUCGAAAUAUGAGGUGUCGUUUUGUAUGUUUUGAAACUACAGGGGACUUUUCUGUGCAUUAGGUAUACUAUAGGGUUUUUUGUUUUUAACCCUUUAUGAAAUUUCUUUUCCUUUGCUAUUCUUGUUCUGGUUCACAUAGAACGUCAAACAAGUAAAAAACGUUAAACUUAUUAUACAAGAGGUGUACAUUAAAAUUACAGAUCUUAUUGCCACCAGAUAAGGGUGGUGUAAGCAUUUAAAAAAAAAAAAAAAAAAGACACAAAGAUCUUAGGCAAAGCUUGGAAAGCUUUCCUGGAUUCAUACAUUGAGACCUCAAUUAUGGGUUACCAUGAAAGCAAAUUGCAGAAGAAGACUGACCACCAUACAGUUUUCUUAGCCUGAGAAGCAAAUAAACAACAAUUCCACACAGGAAACCGAGUGCUGCACUAGAGCCUACCAGUGAAACAGCAGUGCAAAUCAGCAUGACAAAUGCAUCUUCCUUCGAGUUCAUGUCCCUUGAGCAAAUAGCAAGUUCAAUCCCUGCAAACAAUAACAGAACCCCUAGGACACCAACAGGAAAUUGGUCCAAAAUCUUCACUAGAGAGCUACCUAAAACUAAACCCAAAACCAACUUGGCUAAACCAAGGAGGGCCACACAUCCACCACUCCUCCCACCAAAUUUAUACUGUCCAGCUAGCCCUCCUGCACCGUGGCAGCAUGGCAUGGCUCCAAACCAACAUCCUAUUAAGUUCAUCAUUCCAACAGUAAUUGAAACAGACGUGACUGAGGUGUCCUUCUCUGGAAAAAGAUCAUCGACAAUUUACAGACAGCAAUCACUGAAUUUAGAAUUGAUAGUGGAAGUUGAGGAAUUGUGCCCUUAAUGAAUCCUUCCUUCCAUGCAUGCUUGGACAUUUUUCACAACUUCAAUAGGAGAUGGUCCAAAUUUAAAUCCUUUGACUGCUUUAGGCCCUCUACUAAUUGCCAAAACCACACCUAACAAAAAGAUGAUGAAAGCAGAAGGCAGAGAAGUUAUGAUUUUUCUCAACCUUUUUCUUCUGUUGUUUCCUGAUCCACUGGCAUCAUUGGCACCGCUCUCAGUUUCUGCUGCAUACUCGUUGUCAUCGCCAGCACCGUUAACAACUAUAAUGAAACAAGCACAAAUAAUAGCCAAGAGCAAUCCAUCCAAGCCAACCCAAUGCCUGUCUGCACCAGACUUUGAUUUAGAUAAGUUUUGUACUUUUCUUAUGUACUUGACCGCAGUCAUGGCAAAUGAUAAGCCUUGUGCUAGCUGAAUUCCUCUGACAAUUGAAAUUGGAAUAAGCUUAUACACAAGUUGCAUCAAGCCUGUCACACCAAGAACAAGUAAAUCCCUGCAGUGCAAAUCCCUGAUGCCAUAACUUCUGGGAUAUUAAAAUCUGCAUCAGAGAUGGCCACUGCUGCAAUUGACUUCAUCGGCUGCACUGGCAUGGGGACACCAUAGAUUGCACCUGUGACAAAGUUGUAUACACCAGUGAAUAUCAGCGUGGUACCAAGAUUCAGGUCCUUGGCUAGUGUCAAAGCCAAUAUUAUAGGAAUGUAAGUGCCUAGAUCCCCCAUUGCACCAUUUAUCUCCGCCCACUUUGAUCUGAAAAGUAAGUUGUUCUUCACUUUUUGUACAACGUUGAACCUUUGGCCGCGGUUUCUGAUUUGAUUAGUGUUUUCUAAAGGGUUUUCCAUAGCCUAACUCUUUGGUAGUUUGGCGGCUGUGUUUUUUGGAGUUCUUGUUAUUGAAAUAGUGCUAAAAAUAUGUCAAGAAUCAGGCAGGAUUUGAUUGGACUGAACAGAGGUGCAUUUAUGUAUGAUGCAUACCUGCAAGAAAAAUGAAAGAGAGGAUUUUUGGGAUUUUGUUAUUGAAAUAGUGCUAAAAAUAUGUCAAGAAUCGGGCAGGAUUUGAUUGGACUGAAGAGAGGUGCAUUCAUGUAUGAUGCAUACCAAGAAAAAUGAAAGAGAGGAUUUUUGGGAGUUCUUGUUAUUGAAAUAUUGCUAAAAAUAUGUCAAGAAUCGGCAGGAUUUGAUUGGACUGAAGAGAGGUGCAUUCAUGUAUGCACGAGAGGUGCAUUCAUGUAUGAUGCAUACCAAGAAAAAUGAAAGAGAGGAUUUUUGGGAGUUCUUGUUAUUGAAAUACUGCUAAAAAUAUGUCAAGAAUCGGGCAGGAUUUGAUUGGACUGAAGAGAGGUGCAUUUAUGUAUGAUGCAUACCUGCAAGAAAAAUGAAAGAGCAGGCGUCAUUGACUUUAUUAAAAAAAAAAAAAAAAAAAGGUUGUCAUUGACGUAAUAAUGCGGCCCUUGGAUUGAUGGGAGGCCAUUAGCAAUAGAGGAAUGCCUGCCGGUGAAUUUGGCACAAGGCAUCAAGCAAGCAAGGGCCAAGAAGGCUGCUGAUGAUGAUAUAUUCCCCUCAGAGAAUUGACCCUGGAAAGAACAUGGACUGCUAUUGUUAUAAAAACUAUUUGACGAGCCUUAGACAAUUGAUUUUCUGAUUAAUUUUUGUUUGUGAAUAUAGAAUAUAAUAGGUUUCGUCUAAUAAAGACAAAGUAAGAUGAAUAUAGAAUCUCAAACAAUGAUGGAAAUAUUUAUUUAUAAUCUAACAAUGUAUACUUGUAUAGUCCGAGAAUCUAUCUUUAUCUAUAUGUCUGUGCAACACUAAAAAAACUGUGAAGGAGUAUAUGCUUUAUACUAUGCUGUUGAUUCCCACAUAUCUGCCUUUCUUUUUUAUUCUUCUAGCCACACAUUAAUCUACCUUAAUUGCCUUCAUUGGAAAACUAGUAUUUUGACCUGUGCACCAGCACAGUUCUUUUUUAUAUCAGCACAAGUUGUGAAUCAAUGCAAACAUGAAUGAAUAAUUCAAGAAAAAAUAAAACAAUAUUUCUAUAUAUUCAUGUUAGAAAUGUAAUGUAUUGAAGUGUUUAAGUACUCUAUUAUCGAGAAGGUUUUGAUCUAGUGACUAAGGUUGAGAUUUCAAAACGCAAGGGUCUUGAGUUCAAAUCCUCUUUCCCCCUUCCAUCAUUUUAUAUCCCAUCUAUUCCCUGCUACAAUUGACUUCAAAGGUUGCACAGGCAUGGGAAAACCAUAAAUUGCCCAGUGACAAAGUUGUAGACACUGGCAAAGAUUCAGUGUGGUACCAACAUUCAAGGUCCUUGCCUAGUGUCAAAGCCAAAUUAUCUGUGUUUUCAAAUUCGGACCGGACGGCGGUCUGACCGGUUGAACGGGAACCGGUCAAGUGUCAGGUCCGAGUUGGUCAUCAAAACCGGGAGAUUCAAAACCCGGUCAAAAUCCGGAUUUAACCGGUACAGAACCGGAAAAACGUCCACAGAACGAUUUUGUAAAAAUAGUUCAAACUUUUUUAAUAUUAUGUUUUGGCCUAAAUUUGUGAAAACUUAUUAAUAUACCUCAAAUAUUUCAUACUUUAUAAAUAUUGUCCUAAAUUUGAUGUAUAUUUUCAAUUAAAUCCAUAAUUUUAAUUCUAAACUUGUUAAUGUUUAUUAAAUAAUAUAAAUUGUUAUUUGAUUGUUCUAAUUUCUUUGUAUUUUCUUGUUAAAUAUAUUUGAAACAUCAAAUAGAUAUGAAUAUACCUUUAUUAAUAUCAAAUGUUAUUGGAUAUUUUAUAUACAAUAAUUUAAUUUUUAAAUAAUUUUUAUUUAUGACGUCAUCCGGUUCGACCCCUAUCGAUCCCGAUCGAACCCAUUGCCCUGACCUCGGCCGAGUCAAUAUCCGGUCCGGUUCUGAAAACAUAGAAUAUUAUAGCAAUACAGGUGCCCGAAUCCCCGCACAUGGCCCAUUUAGGUCGGCCCAUUUGAUCUGAAAAUUAAGUGCCUGCAGCCCCCAUUGCACCAUUUAACUCGUUUUGUUUGGAUUGCAUUUUUCUCAAAAAAUUUUAUGUUUUGUCGUAAACUCAUUUGCCAAUCACCUUCUUACUUCACAUGUAUCAAGUCGUUACAAUAUAUUUUUCUAUAAAGCUCCGGAAAUAGCAAUCCAAGUUGUUCCUUCACUUUCUGAACAACAUUGACCCUUUGGCGCGGUUGCUGGUUUGAUUAGUGUUUUCCAAAGGUCUUUCCAUAGCCUAACUCUUUUGUAGUCGGUGAAGUGGGUUUUUGGGAAAUCUCUUCCAUUGAGGUAGAGCUAAAAAUAUGCCAAGGAUCAGGAUAUUUAUUAUGCAUGCAAGACUGGUUUUUUUUUUUUUGCUUUUUGUCAAAAGCAGCAUUUUAUUCCAUUUCUAACCUGAUAAAAUGAGGUUGGUUACAAAAAAAGUUACCACUCGAGUUGGCACUUCAAGGAGCUACAUGGGAAAGUCCCUUCCCAUUUAACAUUUUCUAACAAGCCUAACAACAAAACAAACUUUGCUAGUUUAUGCGCACACAUGUUACGAUUCUACGGACAAAAGAACCACUGUACAUUGGUCAAACAAGCCCCUCAUCUUGUAGUACAACUGCAAUUCUGGAUUCCCUGGCAUUUUCCUCCAAUGAGAUCAUGUCACGAUCGUUUUGCAAUCAGAUUGGAAUUCCACUACCCUCCAUUGUGCUUCCGAGCCAUCACCAUUCCUGCUCUGACUGCUACAGCUUCCUCCACUCACCAUUCCCAUUCUGAGUGGUUCGCUUGAGUAUAUCUCGGAUCUUGCCCAUGCCUUCACCUUCAGUAGUCUUCUUUUCCAAACUCUCUAUGCAUGCAAGACUGGUUUACUCAAAAGAAUACGUGCCAUUGAGUUAGCUAAAUGCAGCUCUUGGGAAAAGAAAAGCGUCUGCUGCUGGAUUAGGCGUGAGGCAUCAAGCAAGCCAAAUGUUACUGAUGACGAUCAUAGUUUCUCCUCGAGAGAACUGGCCUUGGAAGAAUAUAAAACUUGUUGGAGAUUGAGAUGGGUAUAGUCUUCAUCAUCUAUAAGAAAGAGUUUGACGGAGUCUAUAUGUUACAUCAAAUUAGUUAUUCGCAUAUUCACUACCUUUGUUUGUAAUUAUAUCAUGUUAAUAACAGUAUAAGGCUUUUUUCUUUUUUUGGUUUUAUUUGAUGACGAUGCAGGAUCAUAGUUAGUAAAUACUCAUAUAAUACACACCGUAAGUAUUAUUCAAAACAUACAUUUUAAAGUUAUAUAAAAAAUAAGAGCGAUCUAUAUCAUAAAAACUAAUAUAUUUUUCAUUUUUUUAGUUUCAUAACUUUCAAAUAUGUUCGUACUAUUCACGAAUAAAAUUUGUAUGCUUAAUUUUACCGAACUCGUAUUUUUGUGACACAUUGAAAACUUUUCAUCGUACUCUUUGAAAAAAUUCAUACAAUUAUUCAAGCAAUUUUUGUGACACAUCCUUCAAACUCUACAAUAGGAUAACUAUCCAUUAAAUUUACCAACACUAGGCAUAUAAAGUUCCUGUCAUACUUCCAAAGGUCAUAAAUCUCAUUCUCCCAAAAUGCAAAACUGGGAAGACAUCUAUCCCCAACACCAAAAAAAAACAAAAGAACAAAAAAAAUAAUGCAACAGCAACUUUUCCUGUGUUCACUCAUCAUCAUCCUCGUCAUCAUCAUCAUUUCCAGCAGCCGAGUUCAAUGCAUUUAACCUCUCUAUCAACUUAGCCUUCUUUCCUCGUAAGUUAGCUUUUUAAGGUUGUACCUGAAAGAAGUAAACCACUCGGUACAUCAGAACAAGGAAUGAAGGAAAUAUACAAGGAUGAAGUGACUCAGCAAGAGUCAAGAUAAUUGGUCUAUUACAACGAAUUCAUGUUCUAAAAAAUUUCACCUCAGUAGGAAACUACCAAGAAAGCAAAUAAGUUGAUUGAAAUGCAUCUAUCUCAUUGAGACCAGACCUUCUAAUAAAACACUUACCUCUUGUGUUCCUUUGGAGGCUCCUUCUCAGAUUUCUUUGCAGAGAAUCAGCACGAAUAGCUGCAUGGACUUUUUUGUACAACUCCUCGAUAUUAUCUGCCUCCAACCCCUUUUUAUGUACUCACUAAAAUGAGACUGAUACCUCUCUGGUUCAUCUUCAAUCAAUGUCUGCACAUUCAGAAAAAGCAACAUAGCAUCUCCAGACAGAGAACUAAAAAGAAACUGCCAAAACAGAAAUGAUGUCCAUCCACACUUAUACUCUCAUGUAAGCCGCAACAUGCCCGCCAUAGAUGUACUUGCGGUGAACCUCAGGGUCAAGUUGUUUAGACUCCUUGUCAAAUCCAGCAAACCUCUUUUCACCAUGGUAUGUCAAGCCCACCAUCCAAUGCCCCCUAAAACCAAGCACAAAAUAAUGUCACAUGGGACAAAAUUUGGACUGUGUUUGCAAACAUAACUUGAACUAGUAUCAAACUCUCCCUAAAAGUUGGCCAGAGAGUUUCUAUGUCCAAAGAUAGUUUGGAUAUUGGCUACAUUUGUAAUUUUAAAACCUUCAUCACCAUUGCUAUUCCUCAAACAUCAAGACAUGAUUUUGAACAUUAAAUACAGUUCUGAGAGCCAAGCAGGUCUUAAUUUUAGAUUACCACGACUUCAACCAUAGGAUCUUGUCAAUUCCCCAAUCCAAAGCUUCUUGAAACAUGCAAUACAUGUAUCAUGCUUUGAUACAUCAGCACAAGAUAUAGUAUAAUGUUGACACAAAUUUAAUACUGAACAAACAUAACAAAUUAUCAACCAUUGUUCACAGUGGACUCGUCGCAACAGAAUGUCAAUAAUGAGUUGUUCAGACUUAAAGACCAACACCAUUACUCUCACCACAUGCCGUUAGGAAUAUUCAUUCAGAUUUCAGAGUAUUCUACAACUUUUCCACAUCUCUUUGACUAAAAGGGUACAUAUCACUCAACAUAUAUUAUACUGGUCAAAUCAGUUCGCCACCAAGCAUAUCAAAAUUGAAAGGCGGCAAAAUUUUUUCAAGUUAAUAGACCCACAUUUCGUCAUAGCAUGAAAGACCAUGAAUAAGAGUCUAACCUUGAGUGCACCAAAACACGGUUGCCUGUGGUGGUCCGUACAAGACCAACAUCCAGAAGAGCACGGAAAGGCCUUCUGCUAUCAGCUGGUUCAACAGAGUAAUCUUCACCAGUAGCCUGUCAGUAUAAUAGCUCAAUAAAUAAUUGCUCCAGAUCACUGGAAUAUGACACCCCCUUUUUCCCCCUCUCAAGAGAAGUGCAAGAGAAGAUCAUAUAUACAUUAAGAGGCAUACACUCUGGUUACCUCAACAUUUCCUUCAACUCCUCAUCCAUUUGAAGCUCUUUGAGAACUCGACGAGCCAGUAGAAACCAGUACAGUAAGCUGAGAUACCACUUCUCACAGUCAGAAGACGUGCAUCUAAAAAUUUGCCCAAAAAUCCAACUUAAAAAUCCUAAUCAGUCAAGUAGGUACCAGCAGCAUAAUUUGUCAGUCCAAUUUCAAGGCCGUAACGCGGCAAUUCAUGUGCAUAAGCAGAUGCAAGCACAAUGUCGCCUGCAAUGCUAGCAGAAACAAUUUGUGCAACAAUGCCUUUGUUGCUACAGCCAGUGUCAAGGUAGUAUAUCGGUCCACAAAAAACAUAAUGAGGUUCUAUGCUACACAGUAAUCAACUAUCUUCCAACUAGACAUCACCAGUUCAGUCAGUCAGUCAGUCAUGUGGCACACAUAAAAUAACCAAUGGCAUUCAUGCACCAGACAGAGAGAUUCAGACAUCAAUACUACAUCACAUACCUACCAACUACCAAUAACUGAGAACCCAACUAAGAGGGAAAAAACAGCAAGAAAAAGGUAACAGGGAGAAAAUAAAAGCAACCAAAAAACACAGGACACACAAGCGGAAAGAAUCCAUGCCCAUGCAGGAAAAAGCAGAGAAAACCAAAAAUAACCCCAGCAAUAAGAUAAGAAAUGACGCCAAAAUUCCUGUGAAAAAAACUUGGAAAAAGAUGACAGAGUAGGAUACAAAUCUCACAACAAACCGAUACUUUGGGGUAUUAUACUUGUUUUUGUCCUGAUUGAUCAACCGAACUCUAGCUCGAUAGUCUGUCUUCCCCUCUACAUAAUGUAGACAAAAAUCAAAAUUAAUAGCAUUCAGUGCCACAUAAUAUCCUCAGCAUGAAAGCAAACACAGAGGCAAACCAAAACCCCCAUACCUCUCCUCCUUUUGAAUUGGACUUGAUACCGCUUAAAGUAAGUGCUUUUGUUUUCUGGCUUUAACGAAUGCCUGAAAGUAAUAUUAUGUUAUCUGAUUGAAUCAAAAAACUUAAAAGCUACCAAACACACGCAACACACACAGACGCAGAAACUAGCAAAAGCUAAUAAUGAUGUAAAAGUUGAACCCAAAAAGAGAAAUUACGCAUCAAUCAUCAAUCAGUUAAAAAUAAUCAUAUCAUGCCCAGUUCUAGUGAAUCAACAGCUCAAGAACUUCAAAGUUCAAACAACAACAUUACCACAUAUCAUAAUAAACACAUUCCCGGGCUUGUCAAAUGAAGCAACAUUUCUAUUCUGAAAACAAUUCCAGUUCUGAUUCAGAACCAAAUGCAGCCUAUGCACAUUCACAUUCAUGUCCAAACCCAAAAAACUACCUCUAAUUUUAAAUCUUUUACUCGAUUAACUGAUAAAUUUAAUUGAUAUCUUUUAGUAGAUUAACUUAACCAGCAGCAUUUGGGAACCUAAAGUCCUCAAUUUGACUAGAUUGAACCAUACCAUUCAAUUAACCUAUGGAAACCCCAAAAAACAUGCAACAGAAUAAACAAAAUAACAAAGCAAAAUCUUCCACAAAAGCAAUCGACUCACUCCUGAAAACUCGUAACAUUUCCUAAUACAAUUCUCCUAGGCAUUUCACAGUUUUACUCCGCAUUUAUCACCGAGCAAAUGCAGAAAACUUAAAAUAAAACAUCAGAUCAAAUCCAUAUCCAGGUAAAACGAAAUAAAUUACUGUAAAAUUUUUAACAGCUUGAAGCAGCAAUGUAGGUUUAGUUUUCUCUUUUAUACCAUUGCGGUUCCUCAAAUUGCUUCCUUCCGCCGACAGCUGCCGCUUGCCGCCGAAAUUUGUCGGGUGGGAGAGGGCGGGUUUAGGAAGCUGAAGAAGAGCAUCCAUCUCCAGAGAAGCCGCUUAUAUAUCAGAACUAAAACCCUAGUGCUCUCAAGCUAAGCUUUACUACUGGGCUAUUAUCAUUCGAAACUUUGGCCCAAACUAAAAUUAACGAAGGCUGGAGUUGGGUCAGCACAUAGGAGAUUUUCUCGGCCCAUUUUAUUUUGUUAUUUGCAUUUUUGUUGAGGAAAAAAAUUCACUUUUCGUCCUUAUAUUCUCAGCUAAAGACACAUUUCAUUCCCAAAUUUUUCGACAAAACACAUUUAGUACAUAAAUUAACAAUUUCUGACCACAUUUAGUCCAAAAAUAAUAAAUUGCUCAAUUUGAAUGGAGAAGGCCACGUGGCCGUUAACAAAAACCCAAAUAUCGGCCAAAACCAACGAAACAAAUCUAUCAUUUUUACUCUCUCUUACCUUCGUCGAUUUCCUUCUCCAAAUUCCCCUUUUCACACCGAUCCAAAUCCACAAUCAACAGAGUGGAGGUUUCUGAUUUGUGAUUGAAAGCCACCGAAUGUGGAGAAAAUAUCGGUUCAGAAGAAAGAAUUCAACAAUCAUGCACCCCCUAAAUUAUAGUAAUAUUUCUAGGGUUUUGAUUUGUUAGAUAAAGAGUUAAAUGUAAAAGUUUUUAACUUUUGUGAGUAUAAUAUUUAGAUGUGGUUCCCGAGGUUUGCACUGUAGGUAUUCUCGUUACUUUGAGUUGUAUUGGGUUGAAAAGAUUAAUUAUUAUUAACCUGAUUGUCGAAGCAUAAAUGUUUGAAUAAUAUGCAUGUGGUCCUUAUUUGUGAUUAUGAUUUUAAGAUGGGUCCAUGAUGUAUGCAUUAUUCAGUGCAUUGUUGUUAAUGUAGGCCCUAUUAAUUAUUGAAUGAUUGAUAUGUGCAUUUUUUUUUACCAGAACAAGGUAGUACACUUAUAACUCUAAGAUGUCACCAUGGAGAGUUGAUUUCAUACACUCCUCAUCCGCAUUAUGAGAGAUGGAGAUGCAUGUGUCAUUGACUAUGUUUAAAGCAUAGGUUCAAAUGUUUUUGAAAUAGAUAGAUUGACUGAAAAUACUGAUUUGUAUAGACACAAAGUAUAUUAUGGUUGGGAAAACAAGAACUUUAUAAGGAUAGAAACAAGUAGAGAAUUGCGUGGAUAUAUUAAGAGGAAUGGUGGUUUAAAUAGGAAAAUUAUUUUGUAUGUUGAGGUAUCAUUCCAUGAAAUCUUUAUUCAACAGCUAGGCUAUGAUCUGUUUCAGAUUGGUGAGAAUGAAGGAACUGAUGGCAAUGACAAUUUUAAUACACCUAAUGCUGACCAUAGAGGGGGAGGAAAAGACAAUGAGGCCAAUGGGAACAAUAAUAAUGAUUCUGAUUCAGGGAGUGAAUCCUUUUUUUAGUAGUGGACCCUGAUUAUAAUAUGACUGAUAGUGAUAAUAAUGAGUUCCAUGACAAUGUAGAUAAAAAUGCUGAAUGGUUACGUGUAAAACACCAUAAGAAUUUUUGAAAAACAAGCCAACUGAAAUUGAAAGAGAUGACAAUUUGGAGCUGCUAGAGGACAAUGAUGUUGCCCCAUCUUCUGAAUCUGAUUUUGAAACUGUGAAUAAACAUGAUGAUGAAAAAAUCAAUGGUGAAUGUACAAUCUUCAACCCCAAAGAUAUUGACAAUCCAAAAUUAGAGUUAAAAAUAUUGUUCAAUAGUAUAAAAGAGUGCAAGUUGGUUGUGAAAAAUUAUAGUAUAAGACAGAGCAAGCCAUGUUCAUUUAUAAAGUAGGACAAAAUCAAAUUGAGGGCAAAGUGUAGAAGUGAAGGGUGUGAUUGGCUUAUUUAUGCUAGAAAAUUGAGUGGGAAAGUAGUGUGCAAAUCAAGACAUUUGAGGACAUCCACAAAUGUGAUUUUACCUAUGACAAUUCACUUGUAAAUUAUGGAUGGGCUGGUAGAAAGUAUAUUGGGGAGUUUAGGACUAAUCAUAAGGUAGAUAUGGAGCACUUUAGAAUAACUGUAAUGAAGGAUAAUAAGUGCUCUUUCUCCAAAAAACAAACAUACAGGUCCAAGAGAAAGGUUAUGAAGAUUAUUCAUAGGAGUGAAACUCACCAAUAUAAUAAGCUAGGAGCAUGCAUGCAUGAAAUUCAGAAAUCCAACCCUAGUAGCUCCAUUAUAUUGAAAACUUGUGGAUAGAUCUAUAAGUACACCAACACAGCAGCAAAGAUUCCAAAGGCUGUACAUGUGUUUUAAUGGAGUGAAACAAGGUUUCUUAGUUGGAUGCAGACCUUUGAUUGGAGUAGAUGGUUCUUGAAAGGGUUAGUUAGGGGAGUUCUAUUGAUAGAUGUUGGAUUAGAUGCCAAUAAUAACAUUUAUCCAAAUGCAUAUGCUGUAACAAAGGGAGAAAAUAAGGAAUCUUGGGCAUAGUUCUUCAAGUUACUCAAAAAAGACUUGAAAAUUGAAUGGGAUUAUGAGUGGACUAUCAUAAGUGACAAGCAAAAGGGACUGAUUCAGGCAUGUGACAGUGUUUUUCCAAAUGCAGCUCAUAGGUUUUGUAUGAAACACAUGCAUGGCAACUUUUCAUCUACUGGAUUCAAAGGAGCAGCUCUGAGAAAAGUCUUAUGGGCUGCUGCAAAGACAACUACUCCAGCAAAAUUUCCUAGCAGAAUGGAAGAAAUGACAACAAUUGACAUACAUGCAGUCAAGGAAUUUGAGGGUGAAUUCUUAGUUUAUGAUAGAAAAAAAAAAAGAAUUCUACAACGAGAGCGAUUCUUGGAGUGUGUUCUGCAAAUAGGAGUCUUCGCAUUCCCGAAUGCGAGCUCGUGAGCUCGCAUUCCGCAAAUGCGAGCUCGAAUUGGAGCUCGCAUUCCCGGAAUGCGAGCUCACUGAGAGCCAAGACAAGGAGGAAAUCAUGCAAAUAUUGAAAAUACUUCAUGCAAGAUGGUUCGGCAGCAGGCUCGCGGCACAGCCUUUAUGGUGUCUGAUGUAGUUUCCUUUCAUCUGACUGCAACUAAUGACUUGAACAGUCAACACUUAGACUAUAGUAAUAAAAAUUCUAAACAUUUUCCAUCUUUUAGCCGCAAAAAUCCUUAUAUUUAAGCACAAAACAAAUUAGAUGAAAGGAUCAUGCGAGCAUCAAAGAACAGUUUUUUCUUCAACAACAAUGCUUCUGCAAAUUUUGAUGCAGAAAAUCAUGCAAAGCUUCAAACAAAACUAGUGAACCUAUCACCCCAAAUACCCCUUAACACUGAACACUUCAAAUGAAACCAGGGUUAUUGAUUAUAAACACAAAUCUCAGCAGAUCAGAACUUGCGGCCAAACAAAGACAACCAAACAGCAACUAAAGUAGAUAAAGUUUCAAAGCCGCAAGUCUGAACCAGCAAACUAGGAGUUCAUGCAAAGAAAUAUUAAAUUAGAGCUCGCAUUUGCGGAAUGCGAGCUCAAUAAGUAGAGCUCGCAUUUCACGAAUGCGAGACCCCGGACGGAAUUCAUUACCAAAAUCACCCCUUUUGUAGAAUUUUUUUAAAAUUUAUCACAAAAUUAGAAAUUUCUCGGGUUUGAUGAUAAACCUCCAGCUCAUUGGAGUAGAGUCUACUUUAGCACUUAUCCAAAAUGUGAUAUCUUGUUGAAUAAUGUGUGUGAGUGUUUCAAUAGCAAAAUAGUAUAUGCUAGGGAGAAGCCAAUCAUUGAAAUGUUGGAAUUGUCAAAAUUGUAUAUGAUGCAAAGAUUGCAGCAAAAUAGGGACUUGACUCAAUAGAAGUGGAAAAAUUAUAUGUACUAUCCUAAGAUUGUUGAGAGAAUAGAAAAAAAAAUGGAAAAAAUCGUGUUUUCCUUUCAAAUCAAAUAAGGACUUGUAUGAGAUUUCUUUCCCAUAUAGUGAUCAUUAUGUAGUGAACAUCAAAGACCAUACCUAUUCAUGUAGAAGAUGGGAAUUGACAGGAAUUCCUUGUCCCCAUUAUAUUUCUGCACUAUGGAUAGCAAAAAACGAUUCAAUAUUGUAUGUAGCCAACUGGUAUACAGUGGAGAAGUACUUGAAAUGCUAUGACGGCUGUGUGUCCAAUGAAUAGGGAAAGAAAUUGGGAGAACAUUGAACUUAAAGGUCCAAAACCAUCUCUGUACAGUAAACCAGCUGGAAGACCAAAGAAAUAAAAGAGAAAGAGUAUGGAUGAGGUUGAGCAAGCAAAAAAAAAAAAAAAAAAAGCAGAGUUGGAUAGGUGAUAAGAUGCAAAUAUUGUCUGCAAAGAGGUCAGAAUAUGAGAUCUUGCAAGCUUAGAAAGGAUGAGCAACAUGCAGUAUCUACUGAAGCAGUCUAUGCGGCCUCCCAAGUUCCUCAAAAUACCACUACAAAUAUUGAAGACAUCUCUGUAGACUGCAAUGAAGCUGAAGCUGAAACUGAAGAGCUAGUUACAUGUACACCUUAAAUUUUGGCAAGAAUUCAGUUGAUAAGACAACUCCAGUGCCUAUAAAUAUUGUAUUUGUCUCACUUUUUUUCUGUUACUUCAAACAUUCUUCAACAUACUGUACGUUUAUGUUAUUGUUUUUGCAGAAAAGAAAGAAACCAAAAAAAGAGAAUGCAACUAGACCAACAAAAAUAGUUGUUGAUGUUGGUGUCAAAGAGUCUAUCCCAUCUUCACCUAAUUUGUAUGAAGUUUUUGGUCUAAAAAGGUCUCAAGUGAAGUAUACCCAACCGUUACAUCCAAAAAGAAGACAACGAUAAGGUGCCUCUCAAAGUAGGACUGAACAUAUAGACAUGGCUGCUACCAAACAAAGUGUUGCUGCUUUCUCUAGGUUGAAGGAAAAAAAAGAAACAGCUAUAAAUAUGCACAUGAUGGCAGUCUUUUGCUGAUACUUUUUAUGUAAUAGUCUUAGUUUUAGUCUUUUGCUGAUGCUUUUGAACAAGACUUCUCUUUUUGAACAAGAUGUUUUCGUUAUGGUGCUGAUCACCUCUUUGAGAAAGUCUAUGAUCCUUGAACAAGUUGUUCAAUUUGGUAUUAUUUUAAGUUCUUACUUAAUGGAAAUGAUGCCAAUUUGUGUAUAUUGGCUUGUUAAUAUAUUACAUAAAUUCCAGAUUAGCUUGUUAUUGUCACGUAUAAACAAUUUGUCUCACUAUGCUGUUGGUCAUCUUUUUGAUGUUAUUCUUAUUUUAUCCAAAUUGCCUUACUAUCAUUUUGCUGAAACAGAGCAAUUUUAUUACCAAAUUUUGUACAACAUACAAUGCAACAGCCAUUCAAAACCAUCUUCCACAUUAACAACCAGAAAUAAGGGCAGUAGUACAUAAUAUAAACACUCUAAAUCAGACCUACAAGUUAUAGAAUUGCACAUCAUCAUUUGCAAGAUCCAAAAGCAUGCUAUUUCUACGUUUACAAAUUCAGUCAAAUUUCUACCCCAUGAAAGAAACGAACCAUAGUCAGCAGCCCCUUUUUUGGUAACUCAUUCCAACCUUAGUAUCAACUUUCCUUCUCUUGCAUUUGCAUGUCCCCUAUUUUUCCCAGCAAUAGAUAUCAUAAGUAGCAUAGCCAAUAUCAGGAUACUACAAAUCAUAAUUUUUCCCUUCUUCGACUUUUUCGAAUUGUUUCCUCCAUUUUAUUUAUCCUUCUCAGCAAACCAGGUAUUAUGCUCCAUCCUCUUGCACAGAUUGGUUCAUCAAACUAUUCAAAAUAUUUGUACCUAUCCGGCCUCUAUAAAUACAACCACAUUCUUACAACAUCAGCAAAGUGAAUUUUCUGCACUUUACUUACAAAAAAUUAUAUUACGCGUAUCGACCAUCUUGGACAACCAUAGAAUCUUCUUCCAAGAUUAUCAUCCCGUCAACAAGUCGUCAAUUUUGGUCUUAAUCCACACCUACAGACAUGGCUACUGCUAUUGAAUGAAAUCAAUGAUUCUGAGCUUUGCGACCUCAUUUUAGAGCAAGUACCAAUUGUAGAUGUAGAUUUGUUGUUUGAUAUGGUGGAUUACUCCAUUAACUCUACUCCAUUUCUUAGUAGAUUGUAAAUCUAGAAGUUAGGGUUUAAGGAUGGAAAUUGAAAAUCGGUGUGAAAAGGGAAAAUUUAGAGAAGGAAAGCGACGAAGGUAAGAGAGAGUAAAAAUGGUGGGUUUUGUUUCGUUGGUUUUUACCGAUAUUUGGGUUUUUGUGUCCGUCCAAAUUGAGUAAUUUACCAUUUUUGGACUAAAUGUGGCCAAAAAUUGUUAAUUUAUGUACUAAAUGUGUUUUGUCGAAAAGUUAGGGGAUGAAACGCGUCUUUAACUCAAAAUUUAGGGAUGAAAAAUGGAUUUUUCCCCUUUUGCUAAAGUAGGAAUGCUGGUAUGGUUGAAGAGUGUAAAGUAAAAUUAAUCCUAAAGGUAUAAAUGGUAAUGAACAAAAUACAAAUCUUUUUGUGUUUAUUUUUUAACCUUUAUUAAGUCAUUUUCUUUAAUUUUGGUUUUUUCCCAAUAGAUAGUAAAAUACCACAUGGUUGUAAAAGGGACUUUAAUUUGUUUUGCAUUAUUAAUUGAAGCCCUUUUGAAAUGAUGUAGUAAUACAUUUUAACCUAGGUAUAAUGUAUCACAAAUAUGAAUUUUCUAAUGGAUUUAAAAUAUUUAGUUAUCGUACACAUUACACAUUAAUCCAUACAUGUAACUUAUGUCAAGCGUUAAACCAUUGGGUUUGUCCAAUAUCAAGGGAAAGGCUAUUAGUGUCUUUCUUGCUAUUAUGUUUAAGAUAUAAAUCCUGUACCUGAGGGUGAAAAGGAUGUGAGGAGGGAUAGAAGGAUUAAAAAAAAAAAAAUAAAAAAGUUAUGUCAAGAGUUAGAUGACAUUAUUUGAACUAUAAAUUUUUAAGUUGUACAUUGUUGACGUUUUUAUUUUGAUUUAGAGUUGAUGCAAUUAUACUGUGUUUGUAAUAGUCAAAAUCAAAUCAUAUCAAUUCAAUUUGAUCUGAAUUACUCAUUUCAAAAUCACAAAAUCUUGAAUUGCACAGCAUGACUUGAACUAAACUAAUAUGAUCAAUUCUAAACCAUCAAAAGAACUUUUGUAGUUACACUUGCAAUUGCAAGACACCGAAUCCCUUAUUGUUUGUGAGAUACAACUAUUCCAACCCCGAUUCCAUUAUGAUGAAUAUGUAUAGUUCACACAGCAAUCCCCAACAAAACCAAUUAAUUGUUACUAGAGGAAAGAGAGGGAGGAAGGGAAAAGAAAUAGAGGAGAAGGAGAAAAAAGAGAUGGGGAGGAGCGAGGAAAAGGAGAAGGAGGUAACGAAUAAUGGCAGGGAAAGAGGAGAAUGCAGGAGGAAAGGAGGAAUGAAAGAGGAUGAGAGGAAGAGGAAGGGGAAAGUGAGGUAAGGAAGGAAAAGGGAAGGGAGAAUGGAGAAGGAGGAGGGGGAGACGAGGGUGGUAGAGGGAGGUGGUGGUGGCAAAAGUGAGGAAGAGAGUGAUGGCAAGCGACAAAGUUAGGGGCAGCAGUGGUGGUAUUGGGGUAUGCGGCACAUGAAGGGUGACGGAAUAUUACAACUAUCCUUCGAGUACUUCCAAAUACACAAAGGGUAUGUUUGGUACCCCAUAGAAUUGGGGUUUAGAAUUGGAAUUGGAACCCCAAUUCUAAUUCUUGUGUUUGGAUGCUGCCUUUUCCAUAGAAUUAGCAUUGAAUUCUAAUUCCAAGAGGUUCCAAUUCCAUGAGUUGAAUUCUUUAUCAGACCAAAAGAAUUCUAAUUCCAAUUCCACAUCUAAACCCUCAAAACGGGUCUACACCCGGAUCCAACGUGGGUAAAAAAUAAAAAUCGGGUCAAGUUCAUUCGCGUCCCCUUCUCUAUCUAAUUAACCGCUUUUCCUCAGCACAAUUGCUCUGAUGUCCACUGCCGCUUCCACCUCAACCGUAACAUUUUGCCUCUUCCACUACCGUCUCCCCCAUUGCCCUUUGUUCCUCUGGCCAUCCCUCUACCCUUCACCACUCCUGCCACGCAUCUACCCAUCACCUCACCAAUCACAAGACUGCUCCGAGUGCUCUCUACUUACCCGUGCCUAAUUUUCUCGAACUAGGUUCUUCAGUCCAGAAGGUAACAACUAAAAGCUCUGCUCCGAGUGCUCUGCUCUGCUCCGCUCUGCUGUUGCCUUUUGGCCUUUGGGGGAACUUACAGCUUGCUAGUUGCCUCUGGUGGAUUUCAAUCUUUUUCUUUGCUUCUCCUCUCUGGUUGCUUCAAGGAUAAGCGAUUUGGAUCUUGGGCUUCUGGUUUUCUCACAGUAAGUUCAAAUGUUGUGUCUUUUCUUCUGCUUCGAUGUGAUUCUCGGAUUUUUUUAGCGUUUUAGUGAUUUUGCUGGCAUUAAUGUUUUAUGGGUUGUUCCUAAUUUAGCUACUUGUUAUAGGUUUUUGUAAUUCUGGACUAAAUUUAUGAUCUUUACUUGCUGUGGAUAUUUUAAAAACAAAAGGUGAAAAUGCUAUACAGUAGAAAAUUUCAACGGCAAGAUCCCUCUUUUCAGUUUGUUUGAGCUAUCCCCAAUAACAAGACAGAAACGAAACCAUAUCCAUUUUAUCUUUCAUAUCCAUUUCUGUUCAGGUGGACUUGUUCAAGUUUUAUUUGGCUCAUUUCUUGUCUUGUUCAUCAGAUAUCUAAUGACAAAAGAAGUUCCUUUGCACCUGUUUCUCUGGCUUAGUAUAUCUGAUGCUGUCUUCCAUACAAACAAAAUUUUGUUUUUGACUUCUUGAAAGUUGGGGUAAGAUGCAACUUUUGUAAAUAAACUAAUGGUUCUCCUCAGUUUAGGCUUAUUUUUUAGUUUCUCUAUACUUUGUGUGCACAUGUAUUUUGAAGCAGUAAUAAAUAGAUUGUUUGAAAGUUAUGAAUGAUUUGCAAUUCGUAAAGCACCGCUACAAGAUCUGUGAUGGAAUCCACUAAUGGCCGUUUAGCCAAACAGUGGUUUACUAUGUGAUUGGUGUAAACUAUAUUUUGCUUUAUGCUCAAAAGCUUUCAUUGUACCAGACAUUAGGCCCACCUCUUUUGGCUUUGCUUCUGAACCUCUGUUAAGAUUCACUUUAGCAUUUCAUUUGAUUGGUUACACAUCACGAAUUUCUCAUCGCAGAGAGACACUUUUUUACUGCAAAAUGGAAAUAAAGUGUUAUGAGAAAUGGUUAUAGUUAUACUGUGAGGCAGUAAGAUGGCUAAUCAAAAUGCUUAUGAAUUUAUUCUCAUGUAUGAGCUGGAAGAGAAACAAAUAUGUGUUGUUAUCCUAACACAGAGUAAUUACUUCUGCAGGCCAUUAGCAAUAGAUUUUUCGCAUAGAGGCCUUGGCAACUUUGUAUAAAUUCUCCUUCUGCUCUGUGUUAUGCAAUAUUGUUCACUAUAGUUGGUUUCUGUGUGUGUUAGCUGAGGUCUAUGCCACUCUCAGGAUCCGUUUGGUUCAAUGGAAAAACGUCUUGACACCCUCUCCUCACCUCAGGCAAAGGCAAUUACUGACACAAUCAUUCGUAAAUUUCAGAUGGAAGGUUAAGAUAUAUCAUCCCACAUAUUUUUAGUGCAACCGACAUUUAUUUCUUAGAAAUCUGAACCAGAAUGCUGUUACCACUUACCACAGAAGCAUUAAUGAAUUAGGGAAAUUUUUUUUUAAAGUCUAUUGUGGGACUAGCAUUCUUGAGAUGGUGAUUGAGAAUUGAGAGGCAAACAUGAUUGAUAUCCUAGGUUCGGUGGUGGACAAUCCGAAAUUGAAAGAAGGCUUGCGUGCUUUAGGGAAUAAACCUUUUCUUUUCUUUCUUUUCUGGCGAUGUCUUGGAGCAUAUAUAUCCACUUCCAUUUGCCAUUGCUCAAGAUUCAUUUGUCUGAAUUAUACUACUGGUUCAUUUGUCAUGAUUUUGAAUUGCAGAAUUUGGAUAUUGACAUGGAUAAAGAAGGAGAUGAGCAAAAGGCAAAAAAAAAAAAGUGGUAGUUACAAAUUAUAUGGUAACAGUAGCCACAUUAGUAGUCUGGUGGCAUGAGAAACAUAUAAUAAAGGAGCCUUAUUUUGAUUUUAAAGUAGCACGUGAAAUAUAUCUAAGGCGUCUUUACUAUGGAAACAACAGAGUUUGUGUAGAACAACUUCGACUCAAUAAACAUUGUUUUACUGUUUUAUGUACAAAUUUAAGAGAGCAUUGUAGUUUGAGAGAUACUAUAAAUAUUACAGUUGAAGAAGCAGUUGCAAUGUUUCUCUAUGUUCUUGCUCAUAACUUUAAGAAUCGCACUGUCAAUUUUAAUUUCAUAAGAUCAGGUGAGACAGUUAGUCGAUACUUUAAUAUAGUUCUACGUGCUAUCAUAAAACUGGGGAGACACUACCUUUUCCAGCCUGAAACGGAAAUGGAAGGUUACGAGCAUGAAAAGUGGGAAUGGUUCCAGGUAAUCAAUAUUUUUUGAUAUUUGUUAAUGAAGAUAAUAUUUACAAGAUUCAUCAACUUAUGAUAUGUUGUUUGUAAUACAGGAUUGUCUUGGAGCGUUAGACGGUACUUAUGUUAAAGUACAUGCUCUUCUUAGAGAUCAAGAAAGAUACAGGAAUAGGAAGAAUGAGAUAGCAACAAAUGUUUUAGGUGUUUGCUCCCGUGACAUGAGAUUUACAUAUGUAUUGCCUGGAUGGGAAGGUUCUGCAGCAGAUAGUAGAGUUCUACGUGAUGCAUUAGUUAGAUCAGAUCCAUUAAUUGUUCCAAGGGUAUGUGACAAUUAGAUUUAUUGAGUGUUUUUUUUUCUUUUAACUAUAAAUGAGUAACAAUUUGUUGUCCAACAUUACAGGCAAGUACUUUCUUGUUGAUGCGGGUUAUGCAAAUAGCCCCGGUUUCUUAGCUCCAUAUAGAGGCGUUAGAUAUCAUCUUAGUGAGUGGUCUGCUAGUGGGAACAAGCCUCAAAAUUUUAAAGAGUUAUUCAACCUUCGACAUUCAAUUGCUCGAAAUGUGAUUGAAAGGACAUUUGGUUUGUUCAAGAAGCGAUGGACCAUUUUGAGAGAUGCAUCUUUUUUUGAUGUUAAGACUCAUGUCAUGAUAAUUAAUUCAUGUGCCAUCCUUCAUAAUCUUAUUCAAGUAGAACAACCAAAUUAUCCUUAUUUGGAUGAAGUUGAUGCUGAGAUGCGAAGAGUACAGCAUGAGAUUGAUGAUGAAGAUGAGGAAGAUGGAAUGGAAGGUGAUGGUCCAAAUAAUGAUAGUGGCGUAAAUGCUAUUAAUGAUAAUCGAAUUCGAACAAUACAACCAACCAGGGAGUGGACACAAUUUAGGAAUGCUUUAGCACGAGAAGUAGCUCAAGCAAUCUAUACUUUUAGGAACCUAAGAUUAUUUGACUUUAGCUGUCUAUGCAAUUGAUGUUCGUACACCAUUGAAAUAAAUGCCUCAAGCAACCAAGUAUAUGCACAUUUUUGCAUAGAAAUUUUCUUUUUUUUAAUCACUAAUAUAAGCUAAAAUUACAUUUUUUGAAUUUUUAUGGUUCCAAUUAUUUCUUCAAAGAAUGAUGUUUUUCAAUUUAGUAAAAGAUCUUUCAAAAUUCUACUAUCUAAUAUAAGAUCGAUGCAAUUUUGCCUAAUAAAUAGAAGUGCAAAUGAGUCGAGUCGAACCGAAUCUCAAUUUAGUUUUUUUGUGAAUCUUGAACUCGAAUUCGAGUUCAUCGAACUCUCAAAAUAAAGUUCGAGUUCAAACUCGACUCAAAUUUGAGUCGAGCUUGAGCUUCAAAAAAUAAAAAAUAAUUAUUUUUUUUAUAAAAAAUGAAUAAAAUAAUUAUUUUUUCUUAACGAAUGAUAAAAUAUUAAGGAUAUAUAUGUAAUUUUACUAUUAAAAUAAAAGAUAAUAUAUAUACAUAUAUAUAUGAUUGAGUCAUCUCACGAAUUAACAAAUUAAGUAUUUUUGAACUCGAAUUUGAGAUAAAACAACGUAAAUUGAGAAAAAGUUAUAGGCAAACGAAAGAUGACAAGUUUUGGACACUAAGGGUGUGUUUGAUAAAAUUAAAAUAUGAAACUUAAAAUUUAAAUUUAUGUGAAAUUGAAAAAAAAAAGGUGUUAAACCAUCAAGCAUCCUCUUGCUUUGUUAAGCUUAAAUCUUCUUCUUCUUUUUUUUUUUUUUCAAUUUUGUUCCUUGUGGCAUGUAAACCUAAAUCCCUUUUUCAAUGCCUAAUUGAGGAUUGCGAAAUUAAGAAAAAAAGGAUAAAUUUUUUAUAUGUUAAUGAUUUUUUUACUCUAACAGUUUUGAUUGUAUAUCACAUAUAUAUGAUUUGAAUUUCAAAUUUGUAUUCAUAUUAUGUGGUAUGAUCUAAACCUGUUAGUGUAAAACAAAAUUAUACAUUGACAGGGUAUAAAAAGGUUAUAAAAAAAAGGAUGAUAUUCACAUACUCUUUUUAAUAUUUUACAAACCCUUUUCCCUUUUUAUUUAAUUAGCACAAAGUUUUUUUUUUAAUGAAAAUUGUGUGUAGAAGCAUUCCAAAUAGGAACGGUGAUAUAUUCAACUUCCACGUUGGGCCAUUCCUAUUGGAUCUCAUAAAAGUGAUAUAUUUCACUAGUAUAGCACCUGAUCUUUACCGAUUUGUUUCUCCAUUGACCACGUCAUUAUCUACAGCCAGAGCCCCAGAAUCAACGAGUCCUCACGCUCUAGAGCGUACACAAAUUAAUCCACUCGCUCUAUUCAGAGAACACGUGUCCAACAUUCUGCUCAGACGAUCUCGUGUCGGACAAAACAAGCGCGUGUACAAUCCUCCAUACUCGUGCAGAUAUUUCCUACCUAUCCUUUAUGGCGGGUCAUUUCUUUUCCUCUUUUUGAAAACUUCCGUGGCAUUUUUAGUAAAUAUCAUUGGUUCCAAGGGCAAUGUGAAGACCCAAAAAUGGAAAAAUGGAAUUUAGCCUUUCUCGCAAAUUUAGAUCUGAAUUACAUAGUCGGUUAAACAUGGAAAAAGUACGAAACCUGCUUCAAAUCUCAACCGUCCAUCUUCAGCAUCUCUCAAUCUUAACCGUUGAACUCUCAGGCCGAUUACUCGAUCUUUACUCUUUUCUGUUAAGACUCCAACAACCCAGAAGAGAUCUUGACCGUACGAUAUUUAAUCUAACGGAUAGAGUCCUCCCACGUGGUCAUAAAUUCCAGGUAAUUUUCAUUUUUUGCCGGUUAAAAUAAUAAAAAAACCCUAAACUCUCGUGACCCCAGACAAACCCUACGCAGCCCUUUCUCUCUCCCUUUUCUCUCUCUAGGAAAAUAAGAAAAAAGCGGAAAUUCAAAAAAAAAAUUUAUAUCCAAAAAAUCGUUUGAAUAAAUCGUUCAAAAUCAAUUUAGGGUUUCAAAUCAAAUUCUAUUAUCUUCCAAAAUUCUCCUAUUCGAACCGUACAAAAGCUUCUUCCGCAUGCUAUUCGCGAUCUCAUCUCUCCACUCGCCGUUUUUUCGAUAGAAUCGAGGUCAGGUACGGUACGUUUCCUUUGUUAAUGGGUUUUUCGGGGUUUUUAAAGAUAGUAUGAUCGGUUAAUUUUGAGAAUGAUUUGAUGUUUGGAUUAUGUUUUGAUUGUACUUUGAUUGAUUGGAUGAAUUAGUGCAUUUUUCGUAUUUUGGGGAAUUUUAUUUGUUGUUGAAAUGCGGGUUCUUUUUGGUCUUUUUAAUGUGGCAGAUCUGGAAAACUGAGAGUGAAUAUGAGGGAUGUGAAAAUUGAGGGUUUUGUAUUUAAGAGUUCGGAUUGAGGGGUUGUUGAUGGAAAAUAGCAUAGGAAAGAUUUCUGCUGCUGCUGGUGUUGAGAAUUCCAGGAAAACCAAAUCUUUGGAUCUCCAGAGUAUAUAUAAAUCUAGGGUCUCGAAUGACGGGCACUCUAAAAAAGGCAAAUAUCCGGUACAGAAUGGUGGUGAGGAUAGGGAUGAUAACAAGAAGAAGAAGAAGAAGAGGAAAAAGAUUGUAAAAGAGGUUGCUUUGGAUAGCCUUGAGCCUGUGGUGAAAAAGAGUAGGAAGAGUAUAGGUGAGGGGCGUGGGAAUGAUGCGCGAUCAGGUUCUGUUUCGGUUGAUUCUAGUCGUUCAUUAUCUGGUUUCAGUCACAAGAAUGGAUUGAAUGGGCUUUCUCUUAGUUUGGGUGGCUCUGGUAAUGUAAUUCAUAUUCCAAAGCGUCCAAGGGGUUCUGUUGGCCGGAAGAAGUUUGAAACUAAUGGGCCAGCUAACAUGUCGGGGCCAAGUGGUUCUGUUGAUAGGAUUGGUAACUCAAAUGGGGAGGCCAGGAAAGUUGAGUCAUCAGGGUCAUCUAGUGGUAAGGCAGGUUCUGCUGAUAAUGUUGCUAAGUUACCAAGUCGUUCUGGUGGUUCCAAGGUAAAACGGAAGAGGAAUGUUGAUGAAGUGAAGGAUGGUAGGAAUGGUAUAUCCACUUCAUCUCACCUUGCGAAAGAUGAAGGUGGUCAUGUUGUAAAUAAUGGUGAUAAAUCUUCCAAAAAACGUCGGAGCAAUCAUAGGAAGAGGAAGGAAUUGCGAUCAGGUGUUGAGACUGCUCAGAAGAAGGUUGAGCCUUCAGUGGAUAAUUCAAGCAGUGUUUUUGAUGACUUCCAAGAUGACGAUGAUGAUGAGGAGAAACUUGAACAGAAUGCUGCAAGGAUGCUUUCCUCUAGAUUUGAUCCUAGGUGCACAGGUUUUACUUCUAGAAUUAGAUCUUCCAGCAGUCCACCAGACAAUACCGUCUCUUUUUCCCAUUCUUCUCGUCGAGAUUUUGUUAGCAGAAGGGCAGACUCGUCGGCUAACCUGAAAACCAAAGAUGCUAGCAGAGUGCUGAGACCCAGAAAAGAGCUGAAGGAGAAGGGCCUUUCAAGGAAGCGUCGUCACUUUUAUGAAAUUGUUACCAGCAAUUUGGAUGCAUAUUGGUUUUUGAACCGGAGGAUCAAGGUAUACUGGCCAUUGGAUGAAAGUUGGUAUUAUGGGCGUGUAAAUGAUUAUGACCCUAAAAGAAAGCUUCAUCAUGUCGAGUACGAUGAUCGGGAUGAGGAGUGGAUUGAUCUUCACAACGAGAAAUUCAAGCUUUUGCUCCUCCCCAGUGAGGUUCCUGCCAAAAAUGACCGGACUAAAACUCCCAUGAUUGAUAAAUACAUAGAUAAAAGGAAAACAGAUAGUGAGGAUGAUGACAGCUUUGACGAGAACUAUCUGGACUCAGAACCUAUAAUAUCAUGGUUGUCACGAUCAUCUCAUAGAGUCAAAUCUUCUCCUGCUAGUCAUUUGAAAAAACAAAAAACAUUACAGUUUUCUAGCUCCAUGGUGCAACCUGUUGUGUCUGUUAAAACUGAUGAUACAGAGGCAGAUGUGGGAUCCUUGGCAGGAGAUGGAAAUAAAUCGGAUUCUGAUUCUACAUUGCCAGAGAAAUCUGCUGAUGGCGAAAGGGCAGAGACUUCGUUGUUGGGAAGUCCUAGUAGCUCCAAAGGUAGCCCAUGUGUUGUUUAUGUUAGGAGGCACUUGCGCAAGAACAGUGGAGGUUUCUCUCCUGCUUGCAGAAAUGAUAAAACACGUAGAAGUCCAUGCCCCACUUUUGCUCCUUUUGACUCAGCUGAGGACAAUUUGCACUCCUGGAAAUGGUAUGAUAAUUCUCUUGGAUGCUCUGGAAUUGACAAGCUUUUGUGGUCUAUCGAUGAUCAAGGCUUGCUCAGGUUGAGAGUUCCGUUUGGAGAAUCUGUCAGAUUCAGGUUGGAUGUGUCCUUGCCUGUCUUGCGAUUUCUGGAUUGCUCAUUUCUAGUGGAUCGUUUUGGGUUCUCUCAUGCUUUGGUGCCACCCAAUUAUGGUGGCAUCAUGACUACUUGGCCUGAGGUUGCUUUGGAGAUGCUUUUUGUUGACAAUUCAAUUGGACUGAGGUAUCUUCUGUUUGAGGGUUGCCUGAAACUUGCUCUCAAGUUAUUUUCGCUCGUCCUCACAGUAUUUAGUCAAUCUUCAGAAGAGUGGAAGUUCAUUGAUAUGCAAUUGCCAAUAACAUCAAUACGGUUUAAAUUUUCAUGCAUUCAAGAUCUCAGAAAGCAACAAGAGUUUGAAUUCUACAGCUUUUCAAAACUGAAACAGUCAAAGUGGCUUUAUCUGGAUUCUAUGCUUCAGCGGUAUUGUUUACUCAGCAAGCAGCUACCUGUUUCUGAGUGCACUUAUGAUAACAUAAAGACACUUGAAGGUGGAAGUUAUCAAUCAUGUACACCAUAUGUUGGUACGGGAUUCUUUCCACUAAAGGUCUGCUCUCCAUUUUUUCUCCUUACGCUACUUUCAUUCAUUUUAUCUUUUUGAUAAUUAGUAGAUAUGCCAUUCACAGUUUCCUUUGGCCGAUGGUUGAGUUUCCACUUAAUGUCUUUAAAAUUGUAGCACUUAUGACUCUAUAUUUGCCUUUUUUUUUUGCAUAAUGUUUGAUUUGCAGUGAAUCGAAGUAGAUAGCAAGAAACUGUCGUGCUUUGUGCCAUGAAUUUUUUGUCUCUAGACAAUAAGUAUGAUAAUUGCAGUUGGACCGUGUACUUGGUUCUGUUUUGCAAUCCCCCGGGGCCUUAUUGAUUUUCCAUUUUUCUGUUUGCAGAAGAGGCUUGUGCACAGCAUUUUACCAGUUGGUGUUUCAAGAGAAUCUUCCAGCAAGAGGACGAGUUCAUUUGCAUUUAAUUCUGCUAUUAAGCUUGGGAAAAUUCCUGCAUUUGCUCUUUCAUUUACUGCAGCGCCAACUUUCUUUCUUAGUCUGCAUCUGAAGCUGCUCAUGGAGCAAAACUUUUCCAGCAUCAACUUUCAGGACAAUGCUUCGCUGUCUGCUAUUGGAGAUUCAGAAGUUGAUGUCCAGUCAACUGCUAUACUCCAUCCGGACAUUGAUCCUUGCCCUGAAAAUGUCAUAGGUAAAAUUCCUGGGUGUGAUAAGCAAACUUCUUUGGCAGAUGCUGGCUCUCAAUUUUUGAGCUCUGCUGAACCUUGUUCAGGAAAAGAUGUCAGCUCUGAAGUGAGUGAUGUUGACAGAGGAAAAUCAGCUUCAAAUGGAAAACAAGACAUGACUCCGGGUCCCUCAAUUUCCAAAGAUUUUGAUAUGCUUGAAACUGAUAGAGUUGUCAACCCUAGCAAUCAUGAGUCCCACAAUCAAGAGUUGGAGCAGAAUGUUGCAUCUUCAGAUCUUUCUGUUUCAAGAACUGUUGCACCUACAGGCUUGUCUAAUACAACCGGCUUUUCUAGUUUGGGUGGUCUGAGUAUUGAACUUCCUUCUUCUGAUCAAAAUGACAAGCCUUUGGAUCAGGGAGUCAAUAUUUCUGGACAGGUUUCUGAUUUGGCUGGGAAUAUGAGUGAUGGUGUGUUACAGAGUCCCUGCACAAGUGGUCUUAGAAGUUCGUUGCGGCGUGAUAGAAAUUGCUCAAACAAUUCUCCCUUUGGGGAUCAUUCUCCGGUAUGGCCUCAUGGGAAGUCAAAUUUUAUAAGCAAUGGCUUUGGCAAUGGGCCUAAGAAGCCUCGGACUCAGGUGCAGUACACUUUGCCUCCAGGAGUUUAUGAUUCUAGUUCAAGGUACCAAAGCCAGAGCCAGAAAUCUUUUCCUUACAAACGAAUUCGGAGAUCCAACGAGAAAAGGGUUUCUGAUGGUUCAAGGAGUUCUCAGAAAAACCUGGAAUUGCUAUCUUGCGAUGCAAAUAUUCUUGUUACUGUCAGGGACAAAGGAUGGAGAGAAUGUGGUGCACGUAUCAUUUUGGAACUCACAGACCAAAAUGAAUGGAAACUAGCUGUCAAAGUGUCUGGUGUUACAAGAUAUUCUUACAAAGUUAAUCAUAUUUUGCAGCCUGGGUCAACAAAUCGCUUCACGCAUGCCAUGAUGUGGAAAGGUGGAAAAGAUUGGGUAUUAGAGUUUCCUGACAGGAGCCAGUGGACUAUUUUCAAGGAGAUGCACGAAGAAUGCCAUAAUCGUAAUAUUCGUGCAGCUUCUGUGAAAAACAUCCCCAUUCCUGGAGUACGCCUGAUAGAGGAAAGCGACGACUACGUGUCAGAUGUUCUGCCCAUCCGCAAUUCACCAAAGUACACAAGGCAAGCUCAGAGUGAUGUUGACAUGGCUAUGGAUCCUUUGCAUGUGCUGUACGACAUGGAUAGUGAUGAUGAGGAAUGGAUUUUGAAGAAUGGUAAAAUUCUAUUCGCUGAUGAGAAUAAGCCUAAAGAGGUAUCAUUUGAGUUGUUUGAGAAGAUUGUAGAUGUGCUUGAGAAGUUCGCCUAUUCUCAACAGUGUGAUCAGUUCACAGUUUCCGAAUUAGAAGAGUUUAUGGUUGGGAUCGGUUCCAUGCAAUUAGUUAAAGGCAUUUAUGAGCAUUGGUGGCAGAAGAGGCAGAGAAAAGGCAUGGCGUUAAUUCGCCAUCUCCAGGUAUCAUAACUUCUUCUCCUCCUCUCACCCCACAAAAAAAAAAAACCCAAAAAAAAAAGGAAAAAAAAAAGAAAUGGCUGAUUUUUUGUUUGAGUACCUUAGUGGUAAUCCAUAAAUGUGUAGUUGCAUACUGUUUGCUAUAUUUAACGUUUAGUUCCAAGUGAAAAGAAUUAUCAUUUAUGCUUGGGAACAUGAUCCUGGCCUUCUUGUUUCCUCCCCUUCCUCUAUAUAGUAGUUUUCUCUGGGGGAAUGAACAGUCAAUUGCUCGGUGAAAAUACUUCUGUUUUCUAGUACAAGUUGUUCAUUUAGCUUUACGCUUGGAAACUAGCAAAUUGCCUUUCCCUAGGUUGUGUUGUCUGCUAAGUUGUGCUUCACUUUAGUCUCUUUUGAAGACGUGGAUGAUGCAUUUAACUGUUUUGAAUUCAAUUAUUUGCUUUAUUUGUUUUAAUUUGGUUGAGCUAGUUUGGGAUUCCAGUUUACCAUGGAUUUUUGUACAGGAAACAGUAUGUUUACUUUGUUGAACUAGUUUUCUGAAAGUAGCUGUGAAAAUUUUUGGUAGCAAUAGGAGAAAAAGAGUGCAAGUAGGGUAUAUGGUACAUAUGUGUGUAUGUUCCAAAUGAAAAUUAUGGUGAUUUUUCUUGGUUGAGAUUAUCAAGUAAUAUUGGUGCAUUCUGAUAUGUCUUUGUAUUUUGAUGAGAUAAAAGCAAUUUAAUUUUAUUUCAUGGAUCAUGCUAUAUGUGUGUGUGUGUGUGUCUGAAAAUGCAUAGGAGCUGAUGUGUUUGGGGAUGGGGGUGGGGAAGGGAAAGAGACAGAACAAGUAGAAUGGAAAGCUAAGUCAUGCAUACUUGUUUCAACCAACAUGAAACUUUGCACUCUUUUGUCCUCCUGUUCUCAUUCUCGUGUUCAUUAAGUUGGAGUUGUUUGAAACUUCAGAUAGGUGUUGGACGCAGAUCCCUUACCACUACCAGUGUCAUAUUGUCUUAGUCACAAAUAUUAUCCCCUUGUACAUUUUGAGUAGCUUGACCAUUUUCCUAAAAGUGUGAGCUUUUCAUGCUUAAACUGAUGUGACCUUCUGAUCUUGUUCCACAUGGGGGCUUCUUUUGUUGGUGGUCUCUAGUGUAUUAAGUUUGUCAAAAGAAUAUACUGGCAAAUGAAUAAAAGUCUUGCUGCUGCUUGUUUUUGGUGACUCAGAAAAUUUGAUAUGGUCAGGCCUUAGGAAUUUUGCACCUGUCGAGCUAUAGCUUUCCUACUCUUGAGUAUUAAACCAUAUGUUGAAGCAAGACUGCUCAUAUUUUAAUGUGCCUUGCACACUGGACCUUUUAUGGUCUUCCUAUCUAAUAUGUUUUUAGAAGUUCUUGCCAGCUUAUUACUUUCCUGAAAAGAUAGUUUUAGUAGCUUCAGCAGGCAUGGCUAUAUGUUUUUUGGGAAAACUUCCUUGUGUUGUGAAAUUAUAAGCAAUAUUGGUUUAUGCCAGUGCUUUACACGUAUCAAGCUAAAUCCAAUUCAUUGUAAUACAUUGCUAUUAAUUUUGUUGACUUGAAUGGAUUGCUUUUAUGUCAUGUUGUUUGUGAUGAUGCUUGAACUAUUGAGCAUCAUAUGUUGCAUUGAAAAUUUUGCUGAAUUUCAAAGCUAUUCUCUCGUUCAAAUUCCUUUUGAUUCUAAAUUAAAAUUGUGUUUUCUCAGCCUCCUCUGUGGGAAAGAUAUCAGCAUCAAGUAAAGGAAUGGGAACAAGCUGUGGCCAAGGCCACUGCUGUGUCAACCGUUGGAUGCAAAGAAAAGAUUUUGUUGAACGAAAGGCCACCCAUGUUCGCUUUUUGUCUAAAACCUCGAGGACUGGAAAUUCCUAAUAAGGGUUCCAAGCAACGAUCUCACAGAAGGUUUCCUGUUUCAGGACACAGCCAGGCCGUCUUAGGGGAUCAGGAGGGGUCUCAUACAUUUGGUACAUAGUUAAUCCUUUUGCAUGCAAUUAGGCCCCAUUUUUUUUUUUUUGAGGCCACUGAAUUUCCUUUACAGUGUGUUUGGUUCUUUGCUUUUUUUUUUUUUUGGAUGUGGGUUGGCAGAGGAACAUUGAUUUUUCAUCUUUUAUCAUUGCAGGAAGAAGAUUAAAUGGUAUUUCUGUUGGAGAGGAGAAGAGUGUAUUGUCAGGCAACAGCUAUGAGUUUUCAGAUUCUUCACCAUCACUGCAGGCCUCAGCAAGGGUAUUUUCACCUCGGGAUGCUGGUGGGCUUGGCUUUUUCUCAUUGACCAGUGAUGUGCCUGAGUGGAAUCAGUACUCAAAAUACCAUAGAUACAAGCCAAAGAAUGGGGCAUUUCCAUCCCCAAGUAGUUCGCAAUUUCAAUAUCCUCAGAGAACUAUAGGAAUGAGAAAUGGUGCUCACAGAUGGAAUAUGGAAUUACCUGAGUGGCCAAGUCAAAAACAUCAUAUUUAUGAAGGAUCUCAGAGGCAUGCCUUGGAGCAGUUGGAUGGUUCAGAUUUUCCUGAGUUCAAAUUGCGUGAUGCAUCAGGUGCUGCUAAGCAUGCGCUAAACAUGGCUAAACUGAAAAGGCAAAGGGCUCAAAGACUGCUCUACAGAGCAGAUUUAGCAAUUCACAAAGCUGUGGUGGCUCUCAUGACAGCUGAGGCAAAAAAAACUGCUUUCGACAGCUCUAAGGGUGGUGAUUAGGAUGACCUUCUGGUUGCGACAAGUAAUGAAAUUGCACAGUGCUUUCAGCUUAUAGGCAGAUGUGGAGUUCAUAUUGCUGAAGUUAUUAUGCCAGAAUGGCGCUGAUAUGACUUUUCUCAAUGAUACUCUUGACUUCCUUUAGAAUUGUUUGAGGUAAAUUUGACCCCGUGCAAAGACCAUUUAUGCACACUG
rnacentral:lncRNA from 1 species